AUAAAAAAGUAAAAAACAGUAGUUUAAAAAUAAUUUUUAAUUUUGUCUGCUUAACAUAUAAGUAGUUUAAAAAUAAACCGGCUCAAAAUAAAAAUCUUAUAAAAAAUAAUAAUAAAAAGACUUAAAUUUUGAAUCGGAAACAUUAAUCUUUCCCUUUAUGGUAAGUAAAAUUUUUUAGUAAAAUUUUAUCUAAUUUGGAUUAUUCUACACCGUCGAACUUACACACAUAUCACAUUAGAUAUUAAAAUAAUUAUUUUUUGAGGUCAUUUAAUCACUUAGUAAAUAAUUUUAAAAAUUAUUAAAAUUUGAUUUCUAAAUAGUUCUAAUAGAAUAGAUUAUGUCUAAAGGAAUUAAUUGUCGAAUCAGAUGCUGCAUUAUCGAAAAUAAGUAAAAAAAAAUAUGAAGGCCUCUAUACUUUCAAAAGUACAUAAGAUGUACUCUGAAAGCAGUCAUACAAGAACUGCCCAAAAAUACUGAACGAAUAUUUUAUUUUCAUAGUUUUUUUUAAAAAAUUAUAAUAUUUGAUAGAUAUAUAAGUGCAAUUAAAUGUUUAUCUUUGCUGUCAAUUAUGCAACUACAUUUUCAUUUUGGUAACUGCUUAUAUACAUAUAAAUAUUUGAUUACACUUCUUAUCUAUCAAAUGAGAAUUUAUAUGUAUAUAAGUGCAAUUAAAUGUUUAUCUUUGCUGUCAAUUAUGCAACUACAUUUUCAUUUUGGUAACUGCUUAUAUACAUAUAAAUUCUCAUUUGAUAGAUAAGAAGUGUAAUCAAAUAUUUAUCUUUAUUUUCCAUAUAUAUAUAUAUACAUAUAUAGAGUCCGGCUACUAUACUAUCGAUAGUACCAAGCCCUUAAUACUAUUGAGUUUUCUGCCGUUAGAUCUACCCUUUGAUCAUUUCCACCCAUUAGAUUAUACUAUUAAACCAACCACCAACUCAACCCUAGGAGACCACUAUCAAUUUAACCGGGGACCACUAUCAUUCUAACCGCACAUCUAUUCAUCCAAUGGCCGAAAACUCAAUAGUACCNAUAAGGACUAAACUUAUUUAGAAAAUCAUAAUUAACUAGUAGAAAGUGAGAUAAUUUAAGAUAUUGAGCUCCAUUAAAUAAGUUGAUACUGAGAAUAAGUCGUAUGUAUUUUUGUGGCACUUACUCAAGCAUUCCUUAAUUUUGCAAAAGCAUGUAGCAUUCACAUAAGCACGAUCAAACUAACGUGUUUUCCACUUAAUUUUGUCAUGAGAUUGUUUAAAAUAAAUAAAAUAAAUUUGCAGUAAAACCUGGUCAAUCAUGAGUAUUCAAUCACAUUGUUUACUUUUUUUUUUUGUUCUCCGUUACUCACAUGUUUCGUAAAGUAAUCAGAGAGAAUACUUUUGGAUUGGUAUAUUUUUUAGGGUUAAUUUCAUACAGAUUUCUAUAAAUAUAGUAAAUUACAAAUAUAUUUCUAUAAAGUUUAAUUUUUAUAUAUUAUUCCUAUAAAAGGCAUAAUAUUUUCAAAUAUGUCCCUAUGAUUUGUUACCGUUAAAAUACUAUUUAUUUUAUAAAUAAAAUAACUUUUUUGCCAUCAUAAAUAUGUCCCUUCAAAAAUCACAACUGUUCAUUAAAAAAGCGUAAAAAGAUCAAUUCACCUCAUUAACUAACUAGGAUUAAAUAUUUUACUUAUGAUUAACUAAUUUUUUUUAACGGAUCCUAGCAGUAAGGACGUAUUUGAAAAUAUCCGGACAUUAAGUUCAUGUGUUAAGUUUAUCAAAAUAUCUUGAGUUCAUACAUGAGAAAAAUUGUUGAAUAUAAGUAUUAAAAAAUUUAUUCUUUGCAAAUUUAAAUUUUCAUAGAAAAAACUGUUGUUUCGUAUUAUUUAACCAACGUAUGACUAGCUUCUCUUACUGCGAGACUCUUUUGGAACCUUUUCUUAAUAUUUUUGAGAAAUGGGAGAUUUGUAAUUUUUAGUUUUUUUUAAAAGUUAAUUUCAUACAGAUCCCUGCAAAUAUGGUAAAUUAUAAAUAUACUCUUAUAAAGUUCAACUUUUUAUAUGUUAUUCCUUCAAAAGUCCUAAAAUUUUCAAACAUACUCCUCUAGUUUGUUACUGUUAAAGCAUUAUUUAUUUUAUAAGUGAAAAAAAAUUUUUGCCAUCAUAAAUAUGUCCUUUCAAAAAUUUCAACUGCUAAUUGAAGAGGGGUAAAAAAAAUUAAUUCACCUCAUUAACUAACUAGGAUUAAAUAUUUUACCUAUAAUUAACUAAUUUUUUCUAACUGAUUCUAACAGAAAGGAUAUAUUUGAAAAUAUUAAAACUUUUAAAGGAACAAUAUAUAAAAGUUGAAUUUUAUAGAAAUAUAUUUACAAUUCAUUAUAUUUGCACGAACUUGUAUGAAAUUAACCCUUUUUUUAAAAUACAUUUGCGAAAGCUUGAACCUACCCCCGAGUAACCUUCCCCGGUAAAAGCCGCUAUGCUAAGCAGUGGUUGUUAAUCAUGUGCCACUAAACGGGAUACAAGCGAUAAGUAAACCUAUAAUUAAUUCAAUAGCAUGACUAAGUAUGGUCUAAUUAAUAUAUAAUUACAUACAAUUUAAUUAGUUGUCACCUUUAGUUAGAGUUAUUGUUUACUGGAUUAAAUUAUUUGAUCAGUUACAAGACUAAGUGAUGAGGUAGUUUUUUCUCUCCAGUGUGUGAACAUUUGAAAAUAAAGCAGCUCUUUGUCCGUUUCUGAAGAAAAGAGGAAACACCGACACUAAUUAAUAAUUAAAAUUAAUCAAUGUUGGACAACCAAUAAGAAAGGAUCUUAAAAAAAAAAAAAAAAAAAACUGAGAUAAUAGCUGUUUUUUAGUAGUUGUACACAAUGAGAUGUGACUGUUAAGAAAAGGAUUUAAUUAAACCUUAGCUUAAAUUAGCAGGAUCCAGCUUUAGCACCAUUGUAAUCCUCCUCUAAGCUUUAAAAUAUAAAAUAACUUAGAACCACAAAAGGAAAUAUGAAGUAUUGUUACAGAGAAAGAACAAAUGCAUAGAUAUGCUCAUAAAAUUUAAGAAUUACAUAUUUAUUUAUGCAAAAUUUUUAUUCCGGAGCAUACCCUCCAAAGUUCUAAAAUAUGGUGGAUUUGUUUUUACCAAUUAACAAUUUUGAGUUGAUUGGUGAUUUUUCAUUAUUAGACUGGUUAUGUCUUUAAAAAAUACUGUAUUUUUUUCUUUUACGAAUUAGAAUUUCUGAUUCAUGGCGAUAAAUAACAUGAAAGAUAGAGUAGAAAUAUUAAAAAUAAAGUUUAUAGGAAACAAAUAGAAAUAAUGAAAAUUCAACUGCUAGACAUUUUAGAGGUACCUAUGAAAAUUCAGAUUUUUAAGGAACUGUAAAAAAAUUGGAAAUUAUAGUCUUUCUAAUUUGAAUUCAAUUCUAGUAUGGGCCCAAAACUAUGCCCUAGCAAUAAACAUGCUAACAUAACAAAUGUUUCUUAAAAAAGAAAAAAUAUAUAUAUAUAACAUAACAAAUGUCACAGCAUCUAAUCCAUUGAGAAUGGAGGAGAUGAUUAUGCCCAUAAUUGCAUGUAAUAAUGCAGCAUAAAGAGUUUUUUACUUCAUAUUCCUUGGCAAUGAUUGCAUGUUAGGCAUCAAUUGGAGAUUGUAUCAUUUUUUUAUUUUAGAUAAUACUUUGCUUUUGAAAUAAUUGGGUGAAACAGUUUCUCUACUUUUUAUCUUUUUAUUUUUUUAAGAAAAAAAAAAAAUAGCACAAUCCCUACUUUGUUCAUUAAUAAGAAAAAAAAAAAAACUUUUAUGAGUGCUAAAAAAAUUUCAUGCGUUCAUAUCUAUAAUACGUCUACUUCUCUAAUAAGCUCUUAAUAGUGUGAUCCAUUACGAGAAAUUAAGUUAAUCUUUAGAGGUACUUAUUACAGCAGCAAACUUAAUAAAUGUCGCGAAAAAUUAUAGAGACAUGCCAAUUUUGUUGAAACAAUUAGUAAAUUGAAUCCUGAUAAUAUAAAUUGAUUAGUAACACAACAAAUAUGGAAAAGUAUAUAUAUAUAGAUAUGUGCUUCUGUUUCCUAUUGCUUAAUUACGUUAGAUAAUUUUCAAUGCUAAUUAAACAGACACUUAGUUUAUUUGUUUAUUUAUCUUUUUCAUGUGCAUGUUCCUAUAUUAAUUGGAAUAAAAUGAGAGAGGUAACAUGGCAAACGAUUGACGUAUAUGUAUUUGUAGACUAUUUAAAACAGGACGGUUGCAGGCAUGUGCACAUAGCUUCUUAUUCUUAACUAGAGGUGGGAAUCCAGCUCGCUGUUCGCGAGUCAGCUCGUGUUUGGCUCGAAAUGAGUUCGAGAUUUAAUCGCUCGUUUNUAAUAUAUAUUUUUAUUAUUUAAUUUUUAGCAAAAUAAAAAUAUAAAAGCGAGCUUAAUUAUAAAAAGACUUAUUUAUAUGUAAAGUUUCAACUAUUAGAUCAAAGUCUAACGGAUAUAAUUUUAUAAAUUUAUUUUUCAUAUAUAUCCUACAUAAUUCUUUUAACUUACUAUGCGUUGGCUAACUCGUAAGCCAGUUCGUGUUCGGCUCGUUUUUUAACGAGCCGAACAUAAGUUGAAUUUUUCGACUCGAUACUUUAACGAGCCGAACACGAGCGGACUCUGGCUCGCUAGUGUUCGGCACGUUGACACCCCUAUUCUUAACUGGUUAUUAUGUGAAUUUCGCUUUAUGUAACGGUCACUUUCAUCAUACAUUAUUGUCAAUUUGACUUGUUGUAGCACAAAUAGAGAAGUAGCAUCCUGUAUGUAUGAUGCCAUGAAACUUUAACAAAAAUGUCUCCAUCUUGCCUUAAUUCAUGGCUACAAUAACGUUGUUAGCAAAACUAAUGUCAAUUUCAAUGAAUUGUCUAUAUAAGAUCAUCUGAAGAAUUAGCUUGAAUAUUUCAUAAUAAUACAUUAAUGUAGUUCAAAUUUUUGUAACUAAAGGGUUCAAUUUGGGAAUCAAUUAAUGCUGCAAGCCUACUCAGUCCUAACAAUUAUAAUUUAUAUUUAUUUUACAUGUAACUCUUACUAGAUUCAAUAAAACGUAUAGACAAUAUCCUAUACAUUUCUUUUAAAAAAAAAACUAAUGUCAUUCUCUCUCUCUCUCUCUCUCUCUCUCUCUCUCUCUCUUGCAAUAUUAUCAUAUAAUGUUUUCGAUUCUACUGUUAAAAAAGAAAAUUAUGCAUUCUAACAGUAUUUAGUUAAACAAUCAAUCUCUUGGAUUAAGUUGCUAGCUACAAUUUUUUACCGCAAUUCCAAACAUAACUCUCUAAACCUUUAUUAAAAUAUUGUGCAUGCUCUCUCAAAAUCUAAAAUAUCAUUUAUAUCCCUCUAAACAUAUAAAUCUAUUUACAGAUUAUAAGCCACAAACUCCAAUAAAGAUGGUAUACUAAAGAACAGAUACAAACGAAGGACGAGCUCAUUCUUUGGGUCGCCGGUCCCUACCUUACACGAGCUUCACGUAGUCGUUGAUCUAUUCAUAAAUGAUCUAAUUAAGAAUAAUUAAUAGUACAGGAGAUAUAAUUUUUAGGGUAAACUUCAAAUACCACUCAUGUGGUUUCGCACUUUCCCACUUUAGUGUCAUGUGGUUUAAAGUGUAUCAAGUUAGCGUACUGUGGUUUCAUUUUUAUUUUUUCGUCAAUUUUUUCGUUAAUAGUUUGUUAAAUUAUAUACAAAAAAUUUCAGGUAUCCUAUCUAGAUUUAUCGAAUAUUCACUUUAGUACCUUUUAGUUUUAACUUUGUCACUGAUUUAACGAAAAAAAUUAGUGGAGUCGAUAAUAAAAAGAUAAAAAUGAAACCAUAUAGCACUAAAUUAAUACACUUUAAACUACAGGGUAUUAAAGUGAGAAAAUAUGAAACCACAGUCGUAAUGGCGGUAUUUAAAGUUUUUUCUAAUUUUUAAUAAAAUGCAAAAGUUGAGGGAGCAAUUUCGGAAACGUCCUUACGCAAGCUUCACGUAGUCAUUGAUUUAUUAAUAAGAGUAUCUAAUUAAUUAAGAGCAGUUAAUAGAACAUGGGACAUAAAUAAAAAAAAUUGAAGGGGCAAUUACAGAAUUUAAGGGCUUUUUUUUGCAAAUAGCCCCCUGACAAAUUUUAUUUGUAAAAAUAGUCCCGUCCAAAAAUUAUUUACAAAAAUGGCCCAGCCCCUGCCACGCCAGCGCCACGUCAGCGCCACGCAGGCAGGACGCGCCCCGGUGUUUAAGUUGAACACGGUGAACCAUUCACCGUGUUCAAUACAAAAUUUUUGUAUUGGACACGGUGAAUGAAUGAUUCACCGUGUCCAAUACAAAUACCCCAACAAUGACUAAGUUGGAGGUAUUUGUAUUAGACACGGUGAACCAUUCACCGUGUCCAAUUAUUUGUAUUGGACACGGUGAAUGGUUCACCGUGUCCAAUACAAAUAUUUCGAUCUUAGUUAUUUUGCAUUGGACACGGUGAAUCAUUCACCGUGUCCAAUACAAAAACUUUGUAUUGAACACGGUGAAUGGUUCACUGUGUUCAACUUAACCAUCUGGUCCAGCCCCGACCGCGUGGCGCUGACGUGGCGCUUGCGUGGCGAGGUCAGAACCAUUUUUGCAAAUAAAUUUUUGACAUGGUCAACUUUAAAAAAAAAAUUUGUAAGGGGACUAUUUGCAAAAAAAGCCCAGAAUUUAAUUAGGGUGAUAUAUAGUACAGGUGGUCUCCAUACAAUAUUUGUACCUAAGUUUUAUUAAAUUUUAACAAUAAAGAAUUGAAAAUAAUAUUUGCACCGAAUGACUCUCUCCGCAGUCAACGGAAGCUUCGGAGGGUGCUGUGAUCUCGGCCGUCUCAUUUGAAAUUAUUCUGCCGCGCGGUUGGCGCAGGGCAGUCUGGCACAUGGGCUGCAGGGCUGCAGGCUGGUGGAAGAAUAAAUCGAGCGCGCCGGCUGGACUGGCAACUAAGAAUAGACGCGCAUUGAAGGUAGAAUAGAAUAGCAGUAGAAGCAAACUCAAGCAUCAAUAUGAAUGGUAUCGAUCGCUGCAGGAAGGCUUAAUUUUUGACAGAAUAUUAUUUUAGAUAUUUUUUUUAGUUUUUUAUAUAUUAUUUUCUGUUUUUUUUUUUUUUCUUUUGCUGCAGCAAAAGCAUCGAAUCUUUUACAUUUAGAAACUGUUUGGUUGCGCGUAGCGGCAUAGUUGUAAUUACACUGCAGUUUUGUAAUUGUAUGCAUAUACAAAUUUGAUGUUUGUUUUGGUACAUUUGAAUUCAACUGCACGAAAAAACUCAUUUCGAGCACUUCAAGAGAGUAAUUUUAAAUAAGGGCAAUUGCUUAUAUAUUUUUUAAAAUUUUUUGACUUUCUUAUAUUAUUUUUCCUUCUUAGAAAACUAAUAUUAAAAAUAUCCCUUUAAAGUUCCAAAGUUUUUCAAAAUUAACUAUUAGGAACCGUCGUUAUCUCUGCAAAAUUAAAUUACCGUUUUACCAUUCCGAAUAUAUCCUUCUAUCAUCACCAACUUUUCUUAUUUGCCCUUAAGUCAGGGGCAAAAGAAGUAUUUUGAUUUUUUAACUUUUCAGAUAUACCCUUCUACAAUCACUAACUUUUCUUAUUUACCCUUAAAUUAGAGAUAAAAUAGGUAUUUUCACUAAUUUUAACUAUAGUAGAAAUUUAACUCAGGUUUAAUCCGAGAUGACUUACUAGACACUAACAGAAGGGAUAUUUUGACUAAUGGAGAAAUAAAUGAAGGGUAUAUUUGAAAUAAAAAAAGUGGAGAUAAAUGAAAUAUUUUAGAAGUUUUGAGGAGUAUAUAGGUAAUUAUCUCUUUUAAAUAAAGAUAAACUUACCUAUCUAAUAAUCUAUUAAAUAGAUAUUUUUUUCUUUCUCACAUAGGGAUAAUUUCACCAUUUCAUAUAUAUAAUAACGACAAAAAAUUAUAAAUGCACUUUUCAAUUGCACGCAAUUAAAUAAAGUAUUUGUAGCUGUAGUAUUUUCUACUACAUUCAAUCAAACAAAGUGUAUUUUCUAACACAUUCAAUCAAACACAGUGCAUAUUUUUAACUAUAUUACAUUUAUAAAUACGUCUAACCGCUAGCUCGUCGGUGCUUUCCAACUCCCGAGCGUCCUGAUCUCGAAAUGCAGUUCAUUAAUUGCAGCUUGCAAAAGGUUCCGAUUUUGAAGCUGCUGGAAUAAAAUAUGGUCGAGCGCGUUUCGAUGGUGGCAUGUAGAUUGCAUCUUAAAAGCUGAGUUAAAUAACAUUUCAGUGCUUUUUCAAAUAGCGCUUCUGUAUAAAGCGCCUUCCAAACCUAGCUAUCCUAUCAGUUUUGGAAAGGUCAUGUGGGCCUGCGUAAACACCUCCGUGACUUCAGUAAUUGCUCGGGUUUCUUUUUGGUUCACAUUAGGAUAAUAGGAUAGCAUAAGCUAGCUUUUCAUUAUUCAAAUUUAGAGCAACGACUUGUUUUGUCUUAUUAUCUCUAUGAGUAGCGCAAUUAUUUUUUUUGGGUAAACUUUAAAUACCACAUUUAUGGUUUCGCAUUUUUUCACUUUAAUGUCAUGUGAUUUAUAGUGUAUUAAGUUAGUGUCAUAUGGUUUUAUUUUUAUCUUUUCGUCAGUUUUUCUAUUUAUAUUUUGUAAAUUAUAUACAAAAUACUUCAGAUACCCGAUUAAGAUUUAUCGAAUAUUCACUUUAGUAUCCUUUAGUUUUAACUUUGUCGCUAAUUUAACAAAAAAAAUUAGUAAAAUAAAUAAUAAAAAGAUAAAAAUGAAACCACAUGACACUAAAUUGAUAUGCUUUAAACCACGUGAUAGUAAAUUGAAAAAGUAUGAAAACAUAAGGGUGGUAAUAUUUGAAGUUUCUUUUUUCUUUUCUUUUUUUUUUUUAAUUUUUUUGGAAACCCCAAGUUGUGCUUUUGCUUUUUAGGCCUCACAAUCAUAUUUUAACUGUUUACUAAUUCUGUUAUACAAAGCUACUGCCUAUAAUUAAAUGAAAAUAGAAUCAACAAAUCCUUAAAAAGAAAGGGCUUUAAGGGCAGAGUUUUUUUUUUUUUUUUUUUUUUGGUAAUAUUGCAAAGUUGAAAUUAUUUUCACAAAGUAGGUUUAUUGAAUCUGAAAAAAUAUAUAUACUAGAAUAAAUGCAAGAAAAAAUUUACUAUAGCCCCUUCCAAAAAUAUAUAAUUUCAUAAAUGCCCUUUUAAAAAUUAAAUAUUAUAAAUGUUGACCCACUGUAUGUAAGAAACUUUCAAAAAUAACCCCACUUGCUAUUUUUCAUCAAAAGUUACACUAAUAGCAACAGAAUUCCUAUUUUGUCCUUGUCAACAAUGGCUUUUGAAAACAAUCAAAUAUAGUUUCGUAAAUACCCUCUAAAUUCAAGAAUGCUUUGUAAAUUACAAAAAAAAAGGUUUUUGUUAACUGAGCUAAAACAAACUUUCAAAUCUAAAUUAAUAUAGAAAAAUUCAAACUAAAAAUUUUAUAAAAUAUGAAGAAGUCGAACAAAAUGGUUAAGCAUCUUACAACUUGAAACUAAUCCAAACAAAAUUUUAUGUUAAAGCUAUCUAAACUAAUAUAAUGUCUGAAUUAACUCAUUUAGCACGUAUUACAUAAGAAGUUAUUGGUUAAAAAGUAUAAGAUAAAAUAUCCGUAUAAUACAUAAAGUAAUUUUCAAUACCUUUCCUUAAUUUGAUUAGUAAAAAAUAAAAUUAUAGGGAUUAAAUCACAAGAAUUCACAGCGGAAGGGGUCUUUUUCAUAUAUUUUCAGUGGUAAUAUGCUUGUAAGAAAUUAUAUAUUUCAAAAACCAUUUAGGAGGUAGCAAUAUUUAUAAAGAUAUUUAUAGUAUUUUUUUAAAAAACUCUAGAAGGUUAUAAGUGAAACUAAUUCUUAUAUCUUUACCUACUUAAUUCUAAUGAAAAAUGCUGAUAAGUAGGGGUAAAAUGGUAACAUUCUAUUUUAAAAUGUAUAGAAAUAGACAUUAAAUUGAUGGAUGUUUGUGGAUUUUAAUGAGAAGGGCGCAUUCAUGAAACAAUAUUUGACAUUUGAAGGAUUAUUCAUGAAAUUUCAAAAAUUGAAAGGGUAUCUACAAAAUUUCAGAACUUCGGGGUGUACACAUAGCAAUGCUCUUAAUGUCUUAAUGUAUUUCUCUACAAAAUAAUAAUUUUUGUGCUCACAACAUCACUAUUCUUGUUUUGUUACUCUAUAAAGAGGUAUCACAGGGCUGGGCCACUACAAUUUGGCCCAUUUUGAAAUAAUUAGAUCCAGGCUUAGGUCCAUCAAAUCCUGGCCCAUAUUGUCAUGCAACAAUUAACUCAUAUAUCACUUUUUUUUAAAAAUUGUAAUUUUAGGAUUGGACUUAUUUAAAGUACUUAUAUGAAAAGGAAAAUAUGAAUGGAGCUUAAGCAUGAUUCAACACAACAUAAUUUUAUCUGGGGCGAGUGUGGUUCGCACUUUGGACGAGACAAGCUUGGAAUGAGAAUUGAAUUCGCUGCUUCUUACAAGGAGCACUUCUUAAAAUGGAGGAGCAAUAGCACUAGCUCCGAUAUCAUUGUCCAAAAAAUCGGUAUACGCCUGUUUGUGUUUUUGAAACAGCUCGUAAACUCUGAUUAACACUAGGCAUAGCUCGAUGUUGAAUGAUGGAGGUUUAAGGGAUGGGCGAUUUAGCACGCUCUGGGGACUCCGAGUGCCCCUUAAAAGUAAAAGUUUUUAGCUGAAUCGUCCUUAAGAAGCAGCCCCUCACCGCCGACAACCUUCUUAAGAGAAGUUGGACUGGAAAUACAGCUUGCGUGCUAUGCGGGACUAAAGAGGAAAUGGUCGACCAUUUAUUCGUACGGUGUGUUUUUUCGAGAUUCCUUAUGGUGACGAGCUUGGUGAACGCCCCGCUCGGAGAUAGGGGAGAUGAUGUGACCUCGAUCUGGGACAGAUGGAUGACGAGGAAGGGAACACAAAAACCGUGUACUAUUAUUUUCAGUUUGGUAGCUUGCUGGUGGAUUAUCUGGAAGGUUAGGAAUGGCGUGAUCUUUAGGAAUACCCAACCGGAUGCCAUCCUUCCAGCCCACAAGAUUAAGCAGCUGACGAAGUCUUGGAACCAAGUUUUGUCUGCCCGGUUGUCGUAGUUUUUUUUUUUUUUCGUCCCCAUCGAGGCCCGUGUUGCCUCACCCACGUAGCCUAAUUUAUUCUUCCAAUGAAUGAAGCGGGUAGCAUGCUAUUUUUUUCUCAAAAAAAAAAAAAACACUAGGCACGUAUUUGGCAAGUAGUAAGUUUACAAUUUGGCAGUUAUGGUGAUUUUAAAAGAACUGGCAAGCAGUAAGUGAUUUUAAAAGAACUGGCGCUAACGGCGCUUCUACAGAAGCUCAAGCAGAGCCAAACUGAUUCAUAAUAGGAAAUGGGACAAAUUUAGUAUUAGCAGCAUUUACACAUAAAACCUGGUAUGCAGAAUAUCUUAGUUUUGAAUCUCAGGUAAAACUGAAAUUGGAAUGAGAAUCAAAAUGCACUAGAACUCAAAAAAGAAUAUAACAAAGACUCUAUUUUCACACAAUCAAUUUCAAUAUGGAAAAAGAACUAUAACAUCAUUCCAAUUUCGAUCUUCGCUUCGCAAUUGAAAGCAAGUUUAGCUGUUCAGACACAGUUACACUUUACGUCUGAAAAUUACAUCUGAUGAGUCAAAAAAAAGAGAAGAAAAUUCUAUGCUUUUCUUUCAUGUCAAAGAAAAAUGAUCUUUUUUUUCACAAUCUUUCUCAUGUUAGAUGGCAACAUUAAAGAACUUGGGUAAUAACUAUGGAUAAAUACAUAUGAGAAAAAAACAUGUGUAAAAUACAUGAAGAGAAAGAUAUUAUGUGCUCCUGAGCAUUAGUUUCUAACAUGAAUGGCCUCAUACUAAUGUCUUUUGAACUCCAUUAAUGAGAUGAAUCCUUCGAAUCCGUCCAUGAUUCCAUUGUACUGCUUGUAGUUGCGUUGAAGAUCUCAUCCGAAAUUUGUAUUGCAAUUUGAUUGUGUUGAGCUGCAUCAUUAAUCAGAUCCUCGAGUGAUAUAACCCCUUCCAAUGCUUGCACGACCUGUGCCGUUUUACGCUCUAUAGGUUAGCGCAUGUAGCAUGUCGAAACUUAAAAGCAUCAAUGAUGAGUCAACAGCUAAAUAAUUCACCCAGGGCAAGAGAUACCUGACUCAUCCGUGGCCGAUGCGGUGCCGAGUGCUGCACGCAAGCAGCGGCACAAGCAACCAUUAGCUUCAUCUCGUUAGGAUCAUAGUUUGUCGCCAACCGCGGAUCGACGAGGGCGUCGUAGUUUCCAUCGUGCAAUGCUCUCGUCAGCAAAGGCCUUGCCUGCGUAAUAUGUUGUCGGAACUAUGUUAUCUUGCGUAAAAUCAAUUAACAAGUUCGUUAGAAAAUGAAAUUACGAAAUUGAAACUAACCCAAUCGACCAAACCACUGAGGAGUGUUGAGUUAGCACUCCUCAUAACAGGUUGUCUUCCAGUGAUCAGCUCAAGAAGCAUCACUCCGAAGGAGAAAACGUCGGAUUUAUCAGUAAGUUGGCCCGUAGAAGCAUACUCCGGAGCUAAAUAUCUAUAUUCAUCAAACAAAUUGGAUGUAAAAACGGAAAUGCAUAUAGGCAAGCUCUUCUUUUAAUGACUUUAGAACGAUAUUUUAACCAAAAGGUUAGGGAUUAAAUACAUUGAUGUUAAGUAGCAUGAAUAUUGAUAUAUAUAUAUAUGGAAACUAUUUCCUCUUUAGUGAACUUUUACAUUGACAUGUAUUGAAGUUUAGAAUUAAUGAGAUAAAGUCUUACCCAAUAGUUCCCAUUAUACGAGUCGAAACAUGGGUGUUGCCAUCAUUGAUAAACUUUGCGAUACCAAAAUCUGCAACCUACAUUCAACCUAAACAACAUCACAUAUAUUACCUUUUCACUUUGUUCUCAUUUUCUGUCUCUUAAGACUAAAAUCAAGACUAAAACAAGCACUUGCAAAUAUCAUUAAGAAUCCUAAUCUCCUUUAACCAAUAUUCUUCAUAUUUACUUCCAAUAUAUUUUCCCAUAUGAUCAGUAUAACAUCCUCAGAAAAACACUGUAAGGCAAGAUAUUAUUGCAUUACUACUCAUUACUCUCUUCCUGUUAAUUACUGGAUGUUCUUUUGUUUGUUCUAUAUCAAUAGGAUAAGGAAAGGUCGAAGUUUUGCACAAAAUUGUAGUUAUGUAUACAAUAGCUAUUGUUCCUAAAUUUUCCUCAUCAUUAAAUGAUAAUCUUCAGAGUAUUUCAAUCCUAACUAUUUAGUUACGGUUUUACUCUGUUUCAUCAAAGAAAUAUGAAAGUUUAAGAAGAGAAAACCGCAGUUUUCGCUACUUCCAGCAGUAUACCUUAAAACCAAUUCACAGACUUGCAAUAGAGUCAUUCUCUUCUCAGGAUGAAAAAUUUACUGAGAAUCAUCACUCAUUUGCAGUUCACCUUGAAAAGUACUUCCUUAUCUUAUCUAGGAAUUAGAUAUUAUUCGGUUCUCAUUGUACAAUCUUAUAAGAUCUAUUACUGUUAUGCCUUAAAUCUUAAUUGUCAGACUAAAAUUGAACUAAUUAUACCAGUAUAAAGAAACAAGAGAACAACAAGCCUAAAAUGCAGAUUUUAAGUACAAUUGUCGGCACCUUUGCCUCGAAUGAAUGAUCUAAAAGAAUAUUGGCUGCCUUAAUAUCACGAUGAACAAUCCUUGGUUGGCCUGUGAUUUCAUGAAAGAAACAAGUAUUAAAAACACACCAAAAAAAAAAGGAAAUAGAUAAGCGCGAUCAUAUUUAAGAAGCAGGAAAUUCAGAAACUCACACUCCUCAUGCAAAUACGCCAGCCCUCUAGCAGAACCAACAGCAAUCUUUAAUCUAGUUGGCCAAUCGAUGAUAGACUUGCCUUUCCCUGUAAAAGUUAUCUUAUUAAAAUGUUAAAGAAUAUCAAUCUGACCAUCCGAAAAAUCGUAAAAUGAUGAGCAAAUUCUUGCAUCCAGUACAGUACUUAAGUUUUAACAUUAAUGUGUCAAAAAGACACUUCGAACACCAACUUAAACUAAUUUUUCAGGAAAGAGCCAAGUAAAGAGGACCACCGAUUUCUCUUAUUUCUGUUUCUAAAUAUUUACCAUGUAAGUGAUGAUGCAAAGUCUUAUUCGGAACGUAUUCAAGCACGAGAAGCAUAUUUUCCUUUGUGAUGCAGCAUCCAAUCAAGCUAACGAGGUGUUUAUGAUGCACAUGGCUUAUGACAUCAACCUCGACAUGGAAAUCGCUCUCCGCCCACCCUUUCUCGGCCUUCAACUGCUUUACAGCAACUUCUCUGCCAUCUGUGAGCCUCCCUUUAUGCACGUACGCAAAACCGCCCUCCCCUAAGAGAUUACCAUUCGUGAAGCCACCUGUUGCAGCUGCCAAUUCUUCGUAGGUGAAGCGGCUAAAGCCAAUGUUAGGAUAGCCGACAACUAUAGAUGGAGUCAGUGAAUUCGCUGAUCUGAUAUUGCUAACUUUUGCAUGAGGUGGCGGUGACGAGAACGACGGCGGUGGUGUUGGUAUUGGCAGCAUUUUGACGACAUGGUCGCUUGAUGGAGAUUCAUUGCGCUCCGGUGCCCAUGGUGCAGUGUCAUAUUGCACUUCUCUCGUUUGUCCAUCGGAUCGUUCAGCUGUCCAAAUUGCAUCAAUUAGUAGAAGCAAAAGCAUCAAACAAGUAGUUCAAAAGCUCUGGUCAACCUCGAAAAACAAUUUAACAAGAGUAAUUCGAAUAGUUCAAUAACUUAAUUACUAUAGCUAUGCUGCAAGUCCGUGACAACUUAAGUUACUAACUCUGAAACUGGCCUAUGCAUAACACGAUUCAUACACCUGCGAACACCGAAAUCAAUUACUUGGGCCGAAACAGAUACUAAAAUGUAGGCAUCAAUUUUCGAAACGAUUAAUAGGAGACAAGUAAUAGAGGUCACAGUAGUAGUUGUAACUUACAUUAAGUAGGCAUUUUGAUCCCUCGAAAAAUCAAAAGAUGCGCGCUAAACGCGCCGAGUAUCGACCAAUUCUCACUAGAAAAAUAGAGAAUAAUUGUUCUACUGAGUCUUUUGGUACUAGGACCUUCCCAGCUCUUCAGAUUUUGUUCUUGUUUUACAAAUUCCUCCUUUGCAUUACAUCACACUUAAUUUUGUUAAUCCCCUUGGCUGAUCAUCUAACAGUUAAUCUAGUACAGAGCAGAAAAGUUGCAGAAUAAAUAAUUUGCUGAAAUAUCUUAUGUGAACAUUGAUAACCCUUCUUCUUUUUUUUGUGAAAGUUGUAAAGUACUGGAAUUCAAAAUGCACAUAUUAAUAUAUAGUCACCAACUGAAAUUUAAUGCUUGAAAGAACUGGAUGAUGUUGAAUGAUUCGAAACAAGCUAAACCAGAGGAACUGGGCUGAAACCAAGGGAAGUGUGAACAAGGUUUCGCUACCACAAAAAACUAGCUUAGGCCAAUCAAAGCCAAUCAAAGCCAAUCCGAAAGCUUAAGCUGCGAGUUAGUGAAGGAUUGGUUGAUUGUUUAAUUCGAACAAUUUUUUUCGCAAUACAUGCAAUGAAUGUAGGAAUCACACACAUAGAAGAAGCCAUACAUGAGAGGGAAACUUAUUUUGCACCAGUUGAAAUGUCUUACAUUUUUAUUGUAGUGGAAAUAAAAAUGUCGAGGAGAUUAUAAACAUAUAUAAUACUUUAUCAAAUUGCACUAUACCCUUUAGCAGAGCCAACAAGACCCUUCAAAGAGAGAGAGAGAGAGAGAGAGAGAGAGAGAGAGAACUCGUGGCUUAAAGGGGUCAGUAUUGUGCCCUGUGGUAGGAGGACAGGUUGGACUGAGUCACGUUCGAAAUAGCGAAAAGUCGGAUUGACUGAGUCAUAUUCGAACUGACAUGAUACUGAUUGGACCGAGUCACAAUUAAGACUCGUAAGUACUCUGUCUAUACAUUUUAAGUGAAUUAACUGCAUAUUUCUAACCGCUCGAGUUUAUGGGAUUAAUAAUUGGUGCCAACGAUCCCAUAAGAAUGAAAAGGAAAAAGACGCGGGGGGGUAGGGGUGCUAACUUGUUUUGAAAGUCCUCAAGACGAAGCAGGGGGCUUCCAUGAGCAAGAGACCGAGCUGCACGAUGACUUUCGGAAGUUCGCAUCGCCGGAAUAUGAACCCUCCAACCAACCUGUAUCAACAUGCAUGUAGCACAAUCACUUCACAACUUAGUGUUUAGUUUCAUGUAAAAUAUCUUUUCUGUUUUUUUGCAGAUCAAAGUAGUAUACUUAGAAAACUAUAUUUAUUUAUGCCAAGCCAACUAUUUUUAACAAUUUUACAGUUUUUUAUUAUUUUUAUUUGGGUGCAUUGCUCAUUCCGAAAGAACCUACGUAUCCUAAAUCCAAAGUUGGGGAUUCGAGCCUCAAAUUUAAGGCUCGAAUCCUCAGUCUUAUCAUUAGCUAAAGACUACCUCUGCACGAAAUUCACACAGAGCUUCGAAUCUCUGACCUUAUAAUUAUUAUUUUAACUCGACAUGAGAAGUUACCCGACGAGUACUGUGGCGCAGCCGCAGGCAGACAGCCCAAGGGCGAGGAAGGCGAGAGGGAAGCGCAGCAGCGGCUUCAGCUUCUGGAAGUCGCAGUUGCAAGGCAUCUCCCGAUUCUAGUCCUUCUUCUCAGGUUCUUUUGGUAGAGAGGGAGAGAAAAAUUAGAAGGGAACAAUGAUUAAUUUCUCUUUUUUGGAUUUAGGCUAGCUUGGGAAUGAGAUUUUUGAUUCUCCUGUAAUGUUGGCUUGAAGUCAAAUCUAAUCCGCUUUUGUCGUUUCCAAGACAAAUCUGGGUAAGAAUUAUACACGAUGUUUUUUUUUUUUUUUUUUUUUUUUUGUGAGAGGAAAGAAAAAAAAAGAGAUAUGCUAUGUUGAACAUAAACAAUUUAAGAAAUGAGAUAUGCUACUUAUACAUCCAAGAGUUUAGACACUUUUUAAAAUUUUUAAUAUUAAAAAAUAAAAGAAAAAUUUUAAAAAAGCCCCCUGUGGUUUCGCACGUUCUGAUUUUAAUAUCCUGUGGUUUAAAAUGUAUCAAUUUGUCCUCAUGUGGUUUUAUUUUUAUAUUUUCGACAGCUUUUUUCUUAAUAUUUUGUUAAAUUAUAUACAAAAAAAAUUUAGAUACCCAUUUAGAUUUAUCGAAUAUUUACUUUAGUACUCUUUAAUUUUAAUUUUAUCACUAAUUUAAAAAAAUAAUAAUAAAAUUGAUAAUAAAAAGAGAAAAACAAAACCACAGGGAGACAAAUUGAUAAUUUAGCGGGGAAAACUUCAAAUACCACCUCUGUGGUUUCGCACUUUCUUAUUUUAGUACCCUGUGGUUUAAAGUGUAUCAAGUUAGUACCAUGUGGUUUCGCACUUUCUCACUUUAGUACCAUGUGGUUUCAAGUAUAUCAAGUUAGCAUCCUGUGGUUUCAUUUUUGUAUCAACUUAGUCCCCUGUGGUUUCAAUUUUCUCUUUUUAUUAUAUAUUUCAGGGUAUAUAAUUUAACGAAAUAUUAAAUCAUAGGGUACUAAAGUGAGAAAGUGUGAAACCAUAUGAGGGUGUUUGAAGUUUUUUCUUUUUUAAAUGAACUCUUUGGGAAGAAUCUUCUUCUCCCAUUCUAUUUAGCAAAAAAAAAAAAAAAAAAAAAAAAAGGUCCAACCAAAUCCGUAAUGACUUAAGGACAAAAAUUAAUUUCACAUAAUAAGAUAUUUUUUCUCCUAUUGUUUUCGCAUAUCUUUUUCAAAGAAAAAUCGUUUCGUACAGGACGUUGCUUCAGCUACCCAACAAACGAUGCUUGUGACACGCCGUAGUUACGUUCACAUCAUUUUUUUAAAAAAUUUUUGAUAAAUAUAAAAAACAUUAUUUUAACUAUCACAUAUUUUGAUUUAAUUAUCCAACGUUUAAAAAUUACAAUUUUACUAUCUAAUUUUUUAGUUUAUUUAAUUUAAGUGGAUUAGUAACUCUUAAAUUCUAAAAUUUAAUUGCAUUGUUUAUCAUUACAGAUUUAAUUAGUACAUUUUAUAUAAUUUAUAUACCUAUAAAUUCGUUAAAGUAAGAAAUUAGCUUAAAUUUUUUAUUAAAAAUUUCACCAAAUAAAUUAAAAAAUUGGACACUACAAUCAAAAUUUUGAAAAAUUAAUAAAUAGAAUCAAAAUAGUCAAUAGCCGAGUUAAGUUUUAUAUAUUUUUAUUUUUUUUAAUCUUAUUUACUGGCUUUUUUUUACCCUACAGAAAUGCUCUGACGAUAUAUUUUAUUUAUAUUAAAUCUAAAGUUUAAAAAUAAAUAAUGAUUCGAGCCCCCAAUCUUAUAUCAAGCAAUCCUAAAAUCUACAAAGCAAAAUAGAUUAUAAUCCUAUAGCACUCGUUCAAUGUUAAUUUUUCUCUGCUAAUCAUAUCAAUUUUUUAUUUUUUUAAAAAAGCAAAACUAUAUUUAAAAUCAUUAUUUGGUUGUGAUCUUACAACUUGUCCAUAACAAAAACUAAAAUUUUCACAAUUUUCUUUUCACUCCUUAUUUUUCUUAAUACUAAUUUUUAAAAAAAAAAAUUAUAUUUUUGGAGAAAAUUGUAGCAAACUAACUGCUUCAUUCCUUAAAAGCUUAAAACAAGGAAAAAAAAAUCGUUUGAAGUAUAAGGGAUUAUUCCCUCUUUUAUAUCCAAACACUGAUAGCUAAGAAUGAAAACAGCUGUUCGCAUCCUUAGCCGGUUAUUCUGAAAUAACCCGCUAAGGGUAGGAAUAUAGACGAAGAAUUGUAAGAUUAUAUAUCCUCCUAUGCGUAGUAGAUAUUUUUGUUUGCAGCCAUUUUAAUUCGAUUUUGAUUGUGGACUUAGCAUUGUUUUUUUAUAUUUUUGUCCAGUAAAAACUUGAAAUCAUUUGACGGUCCCACUAAAUAGAGAGAGAAAUAUCAUUUGAGGAGGAAAAUGCAUAUUAGGCGCAGGAAAUAAGGUUUUUUUUUUUUUGUGUGUGUGGAUUUUUCUCCCUAUAUUACAAGAAUAUAAACAACAAAAUAUUAAGCUUUUGUAGAGAAUACGUGAAAAUUUAGAAUUUAUAGAACCAAAUACAAAGAAAAUAAUUAUACAAAGUAUAUGUAUAUACGUAAAUUCUUUUAUACGUCUUUUUGUUUUUCUGUACCUAAGUAGGAUAAAUUAAUUUCACCAAACCUAUUUAUUGAUUAAUUAAAAGGCUUGGGAGCAAAAUAAAACUCCCCCACCCCCCCCUCUAAAGUUCAAAGUAAAAAAAAUUCUUAAUUUGACUUUUAAAAAGAUUCUCUGGAGGUUUCGUUAAUGAAGCUUUUUUGAUCUUAUUUGUUCUCUCAAAAUAUAGUCAAUAGUGGCUGCUUUAAAUGGUGUAAUAUAAUUAUAUAAACCAUAAAGAAAAUGUUAUUGUUUCUCCUUGUACAAAUGUAAAUUUUAAAGCUACAUUUUGCCUGCUUUUGUGGAAUAAAAGCGUGUUGAAUAAAUUAAAUACUUUUCAACUUAAAAGUUAAAACAACUAAAACAUCACAAAUAAAUUUCAAACAACUUUUUGAAAAAAUGCCAUAUGCACCGAUUUGUACGAAAAUUCUAAAACAAGGGUAGCAAAGAAACCACUGCAAAAUAAAUUAUUAUAUGGACCACGUUGAGGUUUCUAAAUCUCAAAUUUUAAGGUCUUAAAAUUCAAAUCUGAAUUUUUUUUUUUUUGAGAGAUAAAUAGCACGCUACCCACUUCCUUUUAUUUCAUUUAGAAAUAAACUUAGCUGGAAAUGUGAAUCAACUAGUAUUGGAACUUGGCUCUCGGGUACAAACCACCAAACUCUUUGCCACUUGUUCUAGGGACGGUCGGUUCAAAUGUGGAUCUUAAGUCUCAUUUAUAAUAUCUAAAUAAAUAGUUUACAUAUGAAAAUUUAUUAUUUUUGAAAAUUUUCUCUAAACAUAAAACAGUUGCAAAAAUUAGUGUGCUAAAAACAUCCAUUAUUUGUUAUUGACGUUCAGAAUAUUAGGUGCUACUAUUAGGGGUGUCAACGAGUUGAACAUAGGCGAGCUAAGGCCGGCCCGUAUUCGACUUGCUUAUGUAUCAAGCCGAAAUAUUCAACUCGUGUUCGGCUGAACACAAGCAGAAUACAAACCGGCUCAUGAACAAGUAAAAAAAAUUAUAAAAGAUACAUAUAGAAAAUAAAUUUAUGCAAUGUUACGUAUCCAUUUGACUUUGAUCUAAUAGUUGAAAUUUAAAAAUAAUCUUUUUAUAAUUGAGUUGGGCUUAAUAUUUAGGUUAGUGGUGGAACUGGGCCCGAGCCUGAACAAGGCCCGGCCCGAUGGGCCAUGCUUGGGCUGGGUUUUGGGCAAUACAAAUACAACUUUGGGUUCGGGCUGGGCUUAAAAUUUUGGGCCUGAAAAAAAUGGGGCUUAUUUGGACAUAUCCAAGCCCGGUCCGAACCCGACCCAAAAGCCCAAUAUAUUAAUUAUUAGAAAUAAUAUAUAUAUAUAUAUAUAUAUAUAUAUAUAUAUAUAUAUUAUAUAUAUAUAUAUAAUAGAUUAUUCAGGAAUACACAUUGAAUGCUGAGUUACGCAUUGAAUUUCUAGUAGUAGAUUCCAUAAUCAAAAAAGUUUUUGUGAUUGUUCCAGAAGAAAUGAAACAUUUUGAAUCUGGGCUCUUCUAUCUUCUACUUAUUUUUGAUAUUUACUUUUUUUUUUUGCUUUAUUCUUUAUUUCCACAUAAAAAGGAAAUCUUUUGUUACAAUAGAACUAGAAGUGAUGUGGAUCAUUCAAGAAUCGAAGUUGAUUUGCUUUAUAAAAAAAAGAUAUCAAUGGAUAUAUAUAUAUAUAUAUAUAUAUAUAGAGUCCGGCUACUAUGCUAUCGGUAGCAUGGAGCGCUCCAUGCUAUCAAGUUGUUUUCGAUGAUGCGGCUUCCAAAUCGACGAUCGGCUCCGUUAGACUUGAUCUACACUAUUGAAAGUAUUUAGAAGCUAAAUUUUAAUUUUUUUCUACAUCAUUUGACUAGUGAUCAAAAGAUCUCAAAAUGACAAUUUUAAUAUCGAUGUGGUGUGUUUGUGAGUUUAACGGUGUAAAACAAUCCAAAUGCGAUGAAAAUUUUAUAGAAAAUUCUUUUUACUAUUUAGAGUAAGAUUAGUAUAUCUGAUCUUGAAUUUAAAUCUUUUAUCAUUAUUUUUCAUGAGAUUUUUAUUUUCAGCCGUUCAAUUUUAGGCUACUUGUUUGAUAGGUAAAUGAUAUCGAAAAAUUAUGAAAUUUAGUUUCUAAAUACUUUCAAUAGUGUAGAUCAAGUCUAACGGAGCCGAUCGUCGAUUUGGAAGCCGCAUCAUCGAAAACAACUUGGUAGCACGGAGCGCUUUGUGCUACCGAUAGUAUAGUAGCCUAGUUAUAUAUAUAUAUAUAUAUAUAUAUAUAUAUAUAUAAAAGGAAUAAAUGAUAUAGACUACUAGACUAGAUUGAACUAAAAUCAAAUAACAAAAAUUUAUAUUAUAAAUAUAUAUAGUUAUUUAUUUAUAUAUAAAUAUAAAUUAUAUAAAUAAAAAGUAUAUGUAUUCCGGUUAUCGAGCCGAACACUAGCGAGCUGACUCCUAACUUAUAUAUAGUUCGUUUAUUAAACGAGUUGGAAAAUUCAGCUCGUGUUUGGUUUGUUUGCUAAACAAGUAAUUUAAUCUCGAACGAACUAAAUGCGAGUUGGCUCGCGAACAGCGAACUGGGUUGCCACCCUUAGCUAUGAAUAGAAACUUAUUCUCUAGAUUUUUUUUUAUUCAAGUAGUUUUUUUUUUUUUUUUGUGAUGGGAAACAAAUUAAUUUUUGUAAAGAAAACUUGCUAGGAAUGUUUUUUUCCUGUUUAUUUUGUUUUUUUGUGAAAAGACCUGUAGCCCCCUGAAGAUAUGUUGUCUCAUUUUGGUGGUAUCACAGUUUUUUAAAAAUAUAAUUUCUGCAUGAAGUAGUAUAAGAUUGCUUAUAAUCUUUACAUUUAAAAUACUUUUUUUGACAAUAAAAUAUAAAAAAUAAAAGCAACUAUCUUUUACUUUAAGUUGUCAUCCAUCAUUUUGGUUGAGAUGUAUUGCAAGUUAACAAACCAUAAUAAUAAUACAAUUUUUUUUUCUUAAAAACAAAAAAAGAAAUUUCACCUAUAUAUCAAAUUAUAUAGAAUCGGCACUAGAAAAAAGAACAACGGUGGCAAACAAGGCAUUUGAAUUUUCCAUUAGCUUUAGGGUAAAUUAUAUUUUAGGUCGUCAAACUAUAAGCAAUACAACACUUUAGUCUUUAAAUUUUAAUUUAUUAUAAUUUCUGUCUCUAAUUUUUUGAAUUGUAGGAAUCAAGGAACACAACCUAAUUUAAUUUGCCUAACUACCGAUAAAUUAUUGAUGCAGAAAUAAUAUAAAUCUUAAUUAUUAUUAUAUCACCAAUCAAAGUACCUUCACAUCCAUUCUACAGUAGUAUUAAUACUUUAUCACUGUUUUGUUAAUUAUAUUGGGUUUUGAGACUUGGUUACAAGUUAAAAUUUGGAGCACAAAGUAUCACACUCAUCAUACUUUUGAGGACCAAAAUAUUAAUUCACCCUUAGGUUCAUUACUACUAGGCCAAAUCAUCAUGGGCAUUAAAUUCUAACCAUGUGUGACAAAAUUUUAAAAUUGUGUGUGAUAAAUGUGAAACCUUUAAAGCUUAGGUAGCAAUCUGAAAAUGGAAAAUGUUAAAAAGUAAUUCUCGCGUAUUUAACCUUGUAUAAUUUAAGCUUUAUUUGAGAUUGCGGAGAGAUUACAUUACAUGCGAUGAAAAAGUACAAUAGAAAAAUCGUACGUAAUAUUGUGUUUCGCAUAUCGCGAUGAGUCAGUUACGGUAUACUUUCUAUGGCCCCAACGAAAAAUGUAGAAGUAUAUCUCCAUAUGAUUUUAUUUCAACUUUAUUUUGGGGCCGUUUGGUUGCAUGUAGUUGCAACUACAUUGCAGUUGUAACUGUAUGUAAAUGCAAAUUUCGUGUUUGCUUUGAUGUAUUUAACUCCAACUGCUGCAGUAGGAACUGCAGGAGGAGGUCCAACUGCAGCAAUUCGAAUUACGCCCAAAUUCGCCGCAGUUCCAACUGCAACAGUUGGAGAGAGUAAUUUUAAAUAAAAUGCAUGCUUACCUCCUCAAUAUUUUUUAAACAAAAAUUAUUUUUCUUUUUUACAUUGAAGGUAAUCUCACCAUCAUAUAUAUAAAAUAAUAAAAUUUUUUAAAAUUAUUUCUCAACUGCAUGCAACCAAACAAAUUAUUUAUACUUGAAGCGCUUUCUACUACAUCCAACCAAACAAGAUUCAUAUAGUUAUAACUGCUGUAUUUCUAACUGCAUUCAUUUUUAACUACACUGCAUUUAUAAUUACAUCUAAUAAAACGCCACCUUUAUUUAAUAGCAUCCAAUAGGUCUGAAUACAAAACUAAACCGGGUUUAGGCCGAUACCAAUGCCUAUUCUUUUAGGACGGGUCGGGCCGUUUUUUUGUUCAAACAGGGCGUAGUUAGGUCCAAUUCGACCCGGUCCGGCCCGGCCCAUUAUCGCGUCUAUGCACCUCCUUCUUCCUUUUCAAACAAAUGGCGCGUUCGUCGUUCUCUUCAGAACAAGAUAAGGUCUAGGGUUUCCUCUCUCACUCCCCAAACCCUAAACCCUAAACCCCAAAACCCUCUCUCUCUCUCUCUCUCUCUCUCUCUCUCUCUCUCUCUCUUCGCGAUGCUCCUCUCUUUUCGCGUCUCACCCUACCUCCCUCUCCGCCGCUUCUUUUUCUUCCUCUGCCGCAGCUCCUCCUCUUCCGCGCCGCCGCCGCUGCCCAUGGCGGGGUACAAGGAGGCCUUCGCCCGGCGCAUGGCCAUGGCCGGGAUCAAACCCCAUCAUCGCAUCGGUGAGAAAAAGGCUCCAUAUUUACCUCCCCAACACUCCUAGUUGCGCCCCAUUCAUCGCGAAUUUUUGCGUUCUUUCGCAGCUUUGGGAGUCUCCGGUGGCCCCGAUAGCAUGGCGCUCUGUGUCUUAGCGGCGGGGUGGAAAUUGGAUGGGUCGGCGCCGAAGGAUGAGGCGUCGGGAUAUAUUGAAGGGCUUUUGGGGAUUGUUGUGGACCAUAGGCUGCGGCCCGAAAGCACCGAGGAGGCGGAGAUUGUUCGAGAUAGGGUAAACAAUAUGGGUAAUUUGCAUCGUCUGGUUUCAGUGAAUUCCAAAAAAAGAUGGUUUUUUUUUUGGUCCCCAAUGUGUUUUUGUGAUUGCAGAUGAUGCUUUCGUGCAGGAAUUCGGUGCGAGAUCGCAUGUUGUAGUUGGCCCGAUGGACAGCCGAAGCAAGGCCAUUUGCAAGAAGCUGCUCGUGAGAUGAGGUUAUUUUUGUUUCCUUCUCAUAUUUGUUUCACGUUUCGGCUAGUUGCUAUCGUAUUAAUUCAUUUAUCUUGCUAUGUAGGAUCUUUAUCAGUUGUUAUAAGGUAUAGGUGGAUUCUGAACAUUUCUCAACUGAUAAUGAUAGUGUUUGUGUAAGUUGAUAAGCUGUAGGCUUGAUAUUAGUGCGCCCUUAUGUCGAAUAUCUUCAUUGAUAUUUUAUGGGUUUGAUCAUUUGUUCAAAUUGCCUAAGACUUGAAUGAUACUCUUUUAUAACCACAAACUUUGAACUUUUAAUUCUUGAUUUAGAUUUGGUGCAUGUGAUUUUCUUGCUCAAUAUUAGAAAUGCGUUUUUCGAAUUCUGUCUAUUUUGUAAUUACUCCUGUUGGGUCUUAAAUUUCAGGUAUCGUAAUUUUCAACGUGUUUGCGAACAGCAGCAGAUUGGUAUCUUGCUUAUUGCACAUCAUGCAGAUGACCAGGUCUGUGCUAGUUCUAUAUAAUUAUUCCAAUUUAUCUCUGUUCUUGGAGAUUGUAUUUAAAAGUUAUUUACGAACUACAAAAAGAAAAAGGUGUAACAUUUAUUUUCCAUAACUUGGAAUUGUAGUUAAUCUCCAUUUGCAAGUUCUAUACUCUUUUUUUUAUUUAUCUCACAGUUGCUAAUCUUACUAAUAUGUUGCAAAUACUCCAUAAAUAGAAAGUUUCCUUUUUGUCUUGUUGAAUAAAAUGAGUUUUUUUUUUUUAAAAUAAAAAUAUAAGCAUUUUUUUUUACUCAGGCAGAACUCUUAAUUCUAAGACUAUCUCGUGGUAGUGGAGUUCUCGGGCUUGCUGGCAUGGCAUUCAUUUCACAAUUGUUUCCUACACAUCUAAGAUGCUCCAGUGAAAGUCCCAGUAGUAAUGGUAUUUUACUUGUCCGCCCAAUGCUUGAGUUUUCGAAAGAGGACAUGUACAAAGUAAGUAUGCUUAUUGGAACACUCAGAUAUUUUAUUUUCCUAUUGUAGUUUAAUAUUUGGUUUCAAUUAUAAAGGACUGAGAAGGUACAUAAGCAAACCAAUCAAAGCAUUUCUAACGCUUCAACAGGGCAUAGACUGUCUAUAUUGUUUUGGGCUGGAAGCUGGAGUUGCAUACAUUUAUUGUUUUAAUGCAUGUACUACUUGCUAACAAUUCUGAGCAUCUUUAAUGUUUUGGUAUUCAUCCUCUUCUCCCCAAUCAUUUCUAAGAUUCACGUCACUACCUUCCUUUUCUGAUUCUUACUAGUUUAAUACAACCUGCAGAUAUGUCAAGGAGUUGAACAGGUUUGGGUGGAAGAUCCAACAAACCAGAACUUGUCAUUUGUACGGAAUCGAAUUCGAGCCUCAUUAACGAAUCUGUCAUCAUGUAAGAUUAUUAUUUGAAACUGAGAUUAUCCUAUUAAUGCUGAUUCGCUUAUCGAAUCGUACUUUUGUUGAUGGACAAUGGUGAAACCACAGUUAGAGACAAGAAAUAUUUGAUUAUUUCACCUUGUGCUUUGCUUUUAAUCACUUUUGUCCACAAAUGUUUCACUGAAUGGGAAUUUGAAACAUGAUUUGGAAGAAUUAACUCCCAGAAAUGAAUGGGCAUUGUGCCUUUUCUCAUCGAUUGUUCUUGUAGACUCUAAGACAUGUCCUCAUCAUGAGUAAUUUUUAAACAUCCUACUUUGUAUUUUAUUUCAGAAUGCAUCUUAUUGUUAUACGAGAACAAUAAGUUUACCACGGAUAUCGGGCUUAACUAGAAUAUACUUGGAAAACAAUUGAUAUCCUUUCUCAUUUGAACCGUGAUGUUAUAGAUAACAUCAAGCAUUAUAAAAGUUCAUGGUUAACAUUUUUCCAAGUUUCCCUUUUGUUCACAUUACAUGUUUGAUUACAGCUGACCUGGUCCGCUAUUCUCAACAAGCGGAGAGUAAGAAAGGAUGGAUUUUCUUUUUACCUUAUAUUUGUGCGCGCGUGUGUUUUUUGUUUUUGCUUUUGUAGUACAUGCCUGCUCCUCGUUGUAUAUUAUGUGAAAUUUCAUAACCAGGCUUCGUUUUUUACUUCCUUUUGUCAAUGUUAGUCUCUAGUAAGACAUGCUUCAAACCUUCUGAUCUUGCUUUAUUAGUAAUCAAGAUAUAAUAGAGCCAUUAUUUAUCCCCUCGCCAAUUUACUCAUGCAUAAGUCUCAAUAUUUAUAGUAGAUGGUUUGACAUGGUUAGUCACAAUCGACCAUCUAUUGGUUACAUUUUGGUCCUUGUUGCUUACAUCAAGCAUGCCAUCAUAAUCGAGGCUCUCCCAACAUUAUUGGGAUAGGUAGAAAAUAACUUAAUUUUAAGGAGGCUUAUGAAUGAGUUGGUAAGUUAUAAUAGGAGCUGUUUAGAGAACUCAUAUGCCUUCCUGAUUCGCUUCAAUGCAAUCAAGAGAUAUGGAAUGAAAAUUUCCGUUUGAAUUUACUUCUGGACUCCUGAUGAGCCCACUUAUAGAAAUUUGGAUUUUGAUUUUAUUGUUUCGUUAUUUCUCGCCUUUUUCUUUUUUCCCCCUCCCCAAUAGCAUAUAUUAGAUACUUUGAAAUGGUUUCCACUCUUACUGGUUUAAAUUUGCUUGGUCCCAUUUUCAGGUGCUUUUAGGUUGGAAUUGCAAUCACUCAUCUCUGCUUGUCGAUUAACGCGUGCAUAUGUUGAUAGUUUUUGCCAUAAAAUGAUGAGGCAUUCUGUGACUAUCGAUGAGGUUUCCUUCGACACUUGUUUGAGCAUUCAGGGCAAUCACAAUACUUUACAAAUUCCUGUUUUCUGGGCCUCCAAGUGGGGGAUAUUUUAAGCAUGGUUAUGUGAUUUUUUUUUUCUUUUUGGGUACCUCCUAAGUACUAGAAAAUUUCUUGUAAUGUGGUGACCAAUUCUUCAGCUAUUUAUGCUGUAGACAUUGAUUUUAUGGUACAACAGGGACCAAGAAAUGGCAUUUACUUCCAUGUUGAUAUUAAGUAUACCUUUUCAGUUGAAGUCUAAUCUUGUUUUAGUAGUAUGCCUGAAUAAGAUAUGGGAGUUUACUUCAUGACUACUGUUCAGUACAGUGUAGCAAUGGUAUUGUGAAGAGUAAACUGGUAUGUAAUUUCCUAGUUGGAGUUUUGGUGUAACUUUGUUUCUUAGUCUAUGUUUUUCUUGAUAGAAAUUCUUCUUUUCUUUUUUCAGUUCUAAUGAAUGCUGGUUAGAAAAUCUGAAAUCUUGUUCGAAAAAGAAAAUAGAUAUCCUGUGGUCAUCAUUGGAGAAUAACUAGUGUUUGUUUUGUUAAUUUCAAAUCAAAUGUAUCAUGAUAACUUUUUGUUAUUUGUAGCAUGGGUAUGCUAUUAUCGAUCUAGAAAAGCUCGAGCCAACAGAAGUUGAUGAUCUUUGCCUUUCACAGUAUCUGGCCUCAAUCUUGCAGGUAUUAGUCGGUAUUUUAUUGCAUUCCUUUUUUCUUUUUGUUUCCAUCAACAAGAACACAACUCAAAUAUGUUGCCUUUUUCAUAUUUGUGAUAGUUAAUUCACAAUGUGGCAGUUUAUCUCUCAAAGGCACAGACCAAUUCGUGGCAGAACUGCUCGAUUGCUAAUUAGCUACUUCCGUAAAAUCCCGUGCAAGGUCAAUUUAUUAUAUUUCCACUAUCCUGGCAUUGUAUUUGAAAUCCUUGGUGUUCAAUGCAAAUAAAUCCUUGAACAAUUAUUCACCUUUUGAACUACUAUGCAGACCUCCCUUUCCGCAGCUGGUUGUUACCUUUGUGCCGCUCCACGGUCCAAAGGCUCAAAAAUUUUGAUCUGUUGCUUGGUUGAGUCGCCUCAGUCAUUUAUUGUUGAUUUUUCAUCUACAUACUCAUGUCGGGAAGAACAAUGUACUCUGCCCAGUGAAAUAGCUCAGAUAAUUAAGGAAGCGGCAUUGUAUUCUAAUGAAUCAGCUGCAGAGGUUUUGAACAUCUCUUUUCUGAAUGCAAAAUGUUCAAUGGAUGUUCUAAGUGAAGCAAAGAAGCUCGAUAUUAUAAGUGAGUCAACUUUGAAAAGUAUUUCCUUACUGAGUGUAGAAGAACAUGAGAAGUUUAUUACCACUACAGAAGCUCAGGAUAAUCAGGAGUCGAUGCAUGAAAUGAACUUUUCUGGUGCUUCAAGCAUAACUAUUCGUCGUGGCGAAGCAUGCCACUUUAUGAACAGGUUCUUAAUUACAUGGAAUUCUGCUGAAGAUGCUAUAAAAUCAGAUAGAGAUCAAGACCAUCUUUGUGAGUUCUGCUUGGGCGACCGGGAAACUAUAUUACACGUUCGACAUUUAGUUGAUGCUGAUUGGUUGUUUCUCGCAGAAGUUUGUAGGAUUCGGGCAGUGGGUGAAUGCCAGUGUAAUUCAGAUGUUUUUACUUGCAAGCCAAAUGAGAAUGAAAUGGAGAAACCUAAAUAUUCAACUUAUAUGCAGUUGUCAGCUGCGAAGGCACUCCAAGCCCUGAAAUCUAUUCCGGUUUCUGCGAGAAGGGCACUCCCUGCACUUGUUAAUUCUCAAGGCUUACUACUAGGUGUGCCGGUAUGUGCAUAUAUCAAUUAUUUGUAAUCAAAGCAUUCAUUUUUUUGGUUAGUUUCAAGAAAAUUUAUAUCCUUCUCAUUUUGAAACAUUUUCUCUUCCUUUAACCGCAUAAUAAAUAAGGCAGUUCUUUCUCUCUCUCUCUCAUGAAAUAUUUGUCACGGUAGCCAUGUUUUGUUAGGCGCCAAAUUUUCCUCACUUAUAUGCAUAAUAAGAGGAUUGACUAAUCUAUUGGGCUUUUGUAACAGAUAUGCUGUCCAUAAUAUCUGAAACUUAAUUAAUGUGCUAGCGAAGAACUAUCUAUUAUCUUUGGUAUUUGCUAUCGACCUGCUAAUGAAAAUAGAUGUACUCAUGGUUAUUAUGAGCUAAUUCCUUUUCUCCUCAUUUUCCUUCAGAGCAUUGGCUUCAGAUGUUGUCCUUGUCUCUCGGUUGCCACAGUAUUCAGUCCAAGGGUGCCCCUUGGAGGAGGUUUCACUUUGUACACCUGAACUGAAGCAAGAAGGUGAUGUAAAUUUUGUUCUUGUGGCGAGAAUCAAGAUAUGCCCAACGGAAACAUGCUGCAUGGGUUAUUUUCACUAGCAAUUGCGUUAGUUCCCGUUCCUUGCAGAUUGUUCGUUGGUAAUGCCCUUUGAUCUUGAUCCAGUCACUAAUUUGAGUUCCAUUGAAUUGUUACUUAACAUUUUUUAAGGUAGAGAUCAGAUCAAUUUGUAGUCAAACGAAGAAAAACACGUGAAAGAUUGUGCAGCACAUGUUUCUCAUUUUUGUUUGAAAGCCAAAAUAUAUUACUCUGGUGCUAUGCUAUAGUAUGGAUCCGGAUUCUUGGUUAGCCAAUAUUUUGUUCUGUUUGUUCUUUACCUCGCUAAGUUAAGCACUCGCACGAAUAAUACGGCAACCUUUAAGGUCUAACUAUUAAUGAGAUGCUGCCAGAUUUGGUGAUUGUCUUCCAUGAGAUGGGCUUGACAAAGAGUAAGAACAUCUGCUGUUCUUCUUAAACAGGUACAUACUAUAAAGACAGGCAAUCGGACGUGCAAUGGAUGCUUUGCUCAAAAGUUUCUGCCUCUUAUUACUGUGAGUUGAUGGCUUUUGAGUGAAUAUCGCCGCUUCAGCCUCAUGGAGCUGCUCAUGCAUUAUUUGGGACAUCAUAUGCCUUCCUCCAGGUUCUUCUUUUGCUAAGUUUAAUAUUUAUUUCCCUGUGUGGUGAAGGAAAUAGUUUUGUCCUUGCUGAGGUAGAAAACUAUGAACUUCUUUUAUUUGUAUAUUUCUUUUCUUUCUUUUGUUAUUUUUAUAAUUUUGAGCCAAUGUUCACAAGAAUCAUUAAAUUAGUUGCACCACCAAGGAUUUAAGUACACAAUGUGUCGUUCACAAAAGUACAUGUAUGCUGACACACUAUGACAUGAAAUAGACAUUUCGUUUGGCACUAAUAUAUUCUAAAUGUUUAUUAUAUGUCUUUAUCAAUUUUUUUGUACUUUAUUGAUGCACAGUUUGCUACUAUCGAAAAAAGGGGGAUUUGAGUCGUACUAUUGGCACAGGUUGUUUUGCCUUGAUAUCUUGUAAACACAGUAUGAACACUCUGUGCACGAGCUAUUCCAAUAGGUACUUAAAUUCUUUUGCACUAUAUUUAGUUCAGGAGUUUAAAACCGUUGCCUUUGAUUUUGGUUAUUUUGAAGAUUAGCAAGGCUCAAGAUCACAAAAAUUAAAGACCACUCAACCCAAAUGGUUUAGUAAUAUAAAAUUUGCAUGGAAUAGUAUGACUAUAUGUAUCAAUCAUUUUUUUAAUUAUUUUACGAGAAACUAAUUUGUAACACAUAUUACCUACAAUUUUACAUGUUAUGAUGACAUGCAGGAGAAAUGAUAACAAGUAAAUACAUUAAUUACUAAACAAACAGUGCAAAUACUGGCUCAGUUUUGUCAAAGGAAACAAGUAAUGAAAUGAAGUAAAACAUCCACUGCACCUAACACACCAAGAACAAUGAACUAGCCCACUGUAAUUAUUUCGCUCCUUUUAUAAUAUAUUAACAAGUAUUUUCCCAUUAAUUUCCACCGAAACGGACGGUGUUGACAAAUAUGAGUAAAAAAAUUGAAAUACAUGAGCUUGCUGCUUCCUGUUUGCCUUCCAGCCAUCAAGAUAAGGAUUUUAAGGAUGGCAAAAAAUAUGAAGAUCACAAUUUCUGUUAGGGUUUUGUAUUCAUUCAUCUUGUUAAAGUCGAAGUCGGAGAAGAAUCAAAGAAGAAGAGAAGAGAGGAUUUCAAGUCUAUUUUGAAGUUGUUAUAUGUGACAAGAUGAAGUUUAGGUUGACAACUUAGCAAAGCCCUUAAUGAUGUUGAUUUGUUUCUUUAAGGUUACUUCAGUAUUGUUUACAACCUAAUCAAUCUUCAGUGCUAGUAACUUUCACUUUCCUGACUACUGUCACUUUAAGCUGAUAAUAUUAGAAUAUUAUUAUUGAUUAAGAAGAUUUAAACGCUAGAAACUUUUGAUUUCUUAAUGACUUAGGCCUAGUUUAGUAAUAUGGUGGUUAAUAUGCUUCUCCCAUGGUGGCCUAGUUUGGUGCAUGUGAUGCUCUAAUCGAUCAGGCACGGUUAGUAUUUUUUAUAGCGAAGGAAAAUUUAUUACUUGUACAAUGUGUAUGCAUAUAUUUUACACACAAUAUUUUUAAAAUUCUAUUAUAAAAAUUUUAAAUUCUCUAAUUAUUUAUGUAUAGACUUUGUGAUAUUGAUCACAUCUGUGAGAUUAAAUUUAGAUUUUGUAAUAUUAAAAUAUUAAAAAAUAGAUUGAACGCAGGUAGUCCACUAAUACUUUGGCGUGUACGGAAUCUGUUAUAACGGUUAAGAGGGUUGGUCGGGCGACGCAUGUCGCUCUGAGCUCCGCCCCAACCACUCUUUAAUGUGACUAGCGAUGGCUUUGUGUUCUGAAUUGUAUAUAUGUAAAAUAUAGUAUACACUAUUUAUAUAGAAUUAUUUUAUAGAGUCAAACAGUAUCAACUUUGAUGUAAUUAUUCAACACAUAUUUUAUAUGGAAUCGAUUCCAACAUGGAAAAUAUUUUUUGAAGAAAAAUAGUAAAGUUUAUAAUAUACUUAUGUUUUACGUCAUUUUGUUCAAAAAGUACGUCCCUAAUUUUUUAUGUUUGUAUAACAAUAAUAAUGAGAUAUACACUAAGCUGUUGUUUAGUUGGAUAUAAGUAUAGUAUUACUGUAGAUGCAUGUGAUUCAAAUGCAGCGGUUAUUGUUGUAUUUUUCUUGUUUGAUUGAAUAUAAUAAAAAGUCUUGCCGGUAUGAAUAAUUUGUUUAGUUUUAUUUAGUUAGAAAUUGUAUAUCUAAAUUUGUUAUUUUACAUAUAUAAUUGUGAGAUCAUCUCUAAUGUGUGUGUGUGUGUGUGUGAACGCAUGCAUGGGAGUCCGGCUAUGGUAUUUUUAAAAGCACCAAGCACUUGAUGUUUAUAAGUUUUCCAUCCUUAGAUCUAUCCUUCUGACUAAUUUGAUUUAAAUUAUGUUAUUUCACCAAUCGGACACUCAACUUUAGGAGGCCAUGUGCGUAGAGUCCGGCUAUAGUGCUUUUAAAAGCACCAAGGUAGUCGGUGCUUAUAAAUUUUUUACUGUUAGAUAAAUAUUUUUGAUCAAUUUCAUCUCUUAAAUUAUGUGUUAUUUCACCAACCACUCUAAGAAUCAUGUGCUCAUAUUUGUGGCCACAGAUUAUUCUACGGAGUGGGUUGAGGCUGUGCCACAUUUUUGUUUCUGCUUCUGUCCGAUACCGAGAUUCUAAUGAUCCGAACUGUUAAGAUGAGGCCUUCUUCUCCACUUGACUCAAGGCGGGGCCCCCUACACACUGUUUGGUUCAGAGUUAAAGCCGCGGGGGCGGGGGGGGUGGGGGGGGGGGGGGGGGGGAGAGAGAUAAGGGUUUAAUUUUUUUAUUUAUAAUUUAUAAUUUAUAAUUUAAAAUAAAUUUAAAUUUUUAUAAGUUUAAAAUUGAUAUUUAUAAAUUUAAAUUAUUAAUUUAAUUUUUUAAAUUUAAAAUUUGAUAUUUGAUAUUUUUAAAUUUAAAUUUAAUCUAAAAACAAAAAUUUAGAACUUUAAAUUUUUGAAUUUGAGAUUUAAAAUUUUAAUUUUUAUUUUGAAUUUUUUAGUUUUUUAAUUUUCAAAGUUAUAUAUUUAAAUUUAAAAUUUUAAUUAUAAAAUUUAAAAAUUUAAAUUCAAAUAUAAGGAGCAAUAUUAUUAUUUUCUAUUUAUAAUUAUCCAUUAUUCUUUUUAUUCUAUCUUAUCUAUUCAAACGCUAUUUUUCUUAUUUUCGAAAACUUAAUUUUAUCAUCUAAACGCAAAAUUGAUCUAUUUUAGGCUUAACCUUGAACUUAUACUUAUUUCUGAAAUAACUAGCUCUUAGUUAAUUUCGAACCGUACAAAGCCUAAGAGAUCACUAUUAAUCUAAACAUAGAUUUAUCCAAAGGUCGAAAACUUUCAAGCACUAAUAACUUAGUGCACAAUAACCUCAAUCUGGUACCUCUCUUUUGUCACUAGUCUUACUAUUUUUUUUUUUUGUUUUUAAUUCUCAACGCUUUUAGAAGAGUAGUUGUAUGGAUUACAACUUUUUUGGGUGGUAGACUUAGUAUUUUUCGAAAAGAAAGAGGAGUCUUAAACCUAUAACUUAUUUUGAAUUGCAAAAAAAAGAUUGGCUAGUUUUGCAUUUUUACAAAAAAGGCCACAUUUUUUAUUUCUACAUAUUUUAAUUGAUUUUUUUUUUUUCAAAUUCAUUAAAAUACUCAUAUUUUCUUUCUCUCCUUGCUUUCUUUCUCAUUUUAUUUCCCCUCACUCCUUCAUCGUCCCCAUGUCGCUGUCACACUCCUCCCCAACCUCACGGACGAGCGAAAGUACGAUGACGAAGCUGGGCUCACUCGUGGCUGUUGCUGUUUUUGGCGUUCUCCGAUAAGGUCGCCGUGAUAGAGGCAAGGGGGGCGCCGCUUGGAGCAUCGCCAGAGAUAGAAACGGAGGUCGCAAAGGUAGAGGGCUAUAAUUGCUAGUCAAGAAUGCUCAUGAAGCAUAUUCGCAAGCGGGUUCAGAAGCAUGACCGAUGAUAACCAGAUGAUGGCGAUAAUGAGAGAGAAAAAUCUAGCGGACGACGCGAUGUUGCACGAUGUAAAAAAAGUUGCACUAUUUGAACAUAAAAUUGUACUAUUUGAUACGUAUAAUAAAAUAUAAAAUAGUAUAAUUUUUUUCUAAAUAGUUCAAUUUUUUCAAAUAGUGCAAUAUCAAAUCGUUCCUUAGAUUUUUUUUUCUCUCAUUACCGCCGCCACCUUGUUGCUGCCAGUCGUGCUUGCGCACAAACAUGCUUUCAAAGCAUUCUCAACUAAUGACCGUCGCACUACUUCUCUGCCACCUCUGUCUCCAUUUCGGGCGAGGCUAUAAGCAACUACGAUGAUGAGCAGGUCAAGUUCACCAUUUUCCUCUCACUCGUGAGGUACAGCACGACGUAGGCUAGGUGGAGUUAAUGUGGAGACCGCGAAGGUAGAACGAGAGCUCGAAGCUGCCACCGGUGGCGGAGACGUGGGCCCAUGAGGAGCAGAAUAGGAAAGAUGAAUUGUUUAAGGCAGAGUAAUAUUUUGGCCCAUUUUCAAAAAUUUUGACAUGUAUAUAUAAAAAUAAGAAAUAUGACAUUUUAUUAAAAUACAAGACUAGUGAUUAUUUUAUUUUAUUAUUUAUUUAUUUUUGCAAAACAGUGGAUUGUAAUCCUACAGCAAUCCCAAUAAUAUAACUACUGAACGAAUCACUUGAAAAAGACUGGAAGCUAGAAAGACAAUACAUCUUUAUUUAAUCCUGCAGCUCCAGUAUCUCGCAACAUUUUCUACGAAGAGCAAAUAACGACGGGUAAAAGCAUAUAUAGUGACAUAGAACCCCGUGAAUCGUAACAAAGUUCAGUCACAUGAUGGUGCAGGUGUACUGAUCGGAAUCUUCCUCGUAGACGACAUUGUAGCCGGCGCCGUUGCACCAGGGUCCACCACUGCCGCUGCAGCCGCAGCGGCAGCCGCCACCGCUGCCGCCACCUCCACCGUUGCCAUCACUGCAGCCGCAGCGGCAGCCGACACUGUCGCUGCGGCGGNAAAUGGCCGCAGCCGUAGCCGCAGCCGCAGCCGCAGCCGCAGCCGCAGCCGCAGUGGCAGCUAUCUGGGGGGACCCAUCCGCUGUCCUCCUUCCCGCACGAGCAGCACCGGCGCACUCCUCUCCCUCCUCGGCAGUCGUACCACGGGCACGGGCACGGCUGCUGGCAGCAGCCCGGCCACACCGGAUAAGGAUACGGCACCCCCACUAGCUUUGUCUUCGUCGGCGGCGGAGGGGUCGGGGGCGGCGGCGUUGGCGGUGGAGAGGGAGGAGGGGGCGGCGGAGGCGGAGGCGGAGGCGGAGGGGGCGGGGGCGGCGGUGGAGGAGGAGGAGGAGCAGGAGGAGGAGGGAUCUGGACGUCCUUGAUCACCUUGCAGGCCAUGCAAAGCAGCUUCUUUGACAGGCGCUCGGGAUCGAAAGGGCCGGAAAUUUUGACGGUGUUCUUCUUCUCGUCGUAUACGAUGGUCUGGAUCUUCUCUCGUUCUCCACGUUAUUAACAAAAAUUAAUGCAGUCAAAAAGGACGAAGAGAGAAUGCGAAAUAACUAUUUUUUUCCGAAAAUUUAAACUAUCCGAGAAUUUCAACUCUAAGACUUUUUAUUCUAAUACUAUGUUAAAAUAUGCGGCGAUAGCUGCUGUUCUCCACAAAUUUAUGCUGACAAGAGAGCAGCUUUUUUCUGAUAUUUUAUAUUCGACAAGUGCACGGAAAGCUUGAAUAAUUGAGAAUACCUUGGAGCUUGCACAGAACCUUUUUGAUCUUUUUGUUGCAGCGGCAGCAUUCCAGGUCUACUUUUAGGAUUAAUGUGGAGACCUGCAGUUGUGCAGUCGCAGAAGUAAAAGAGAUUGGCACACACUAGGAAUGUGAAAAGUUAAAACAGAUCGGCACUUUGUAUACUAAGGCAAAUUUAAGAUUCUGCAGACCAUGGACUGAGCACUGCAGAACAGAAAAAAAAAAAAAAGAAACUGCAAUAAUACACCCAGAGAAAGCAAUCAAACGAGCAAGCCUUCAACUGGUCGUUUCUGUUUAUCUCUAAAAUGAAGCAUCAAUGAGAUUCUAAUUAACUCAACAUCUUCUGCAUACUGAGAAACCUGCUGUUUGUUACUACUUGAUGUAAAUUUGAUUUUUUAUUCAGUGAAAAUACUUGGUUAGCUUUCGGAAAAAAAUUGAAAAAAGAAAUAUCAGAGAUUUGGAAAUUUGAGCACCUUCUCAGCCAUUGCUUAAACCGAUUGAUCCGAAGAUCAGAGAGAGAGAGAGAGAGAGAGAGAGAGAGAGAGGAAUGAGGGGAACAAGGGGAAUCAGGCCUCUCUCAUUUCGCCAUGUAAAUUGGAGUUAAAUCAUAAUUAGAUUACAAUAGAAUAUUAUCUAUCUAUACCUGUAUAUUAUUGCUUAUAAACUUUGCCUUCUUGACCGUUGCCUUUUUUUUUUUUUUUUCCUUCAUAAUGAUCAAAUUUAUUAUUUUUCAUCACCAUGCGAUUUUUUGUCUUCCCACCUGUGCUCUUCCUAAUUAAUAUGUUCACAUGCUUCAUUAUUUUCUACACAAAUCAAUUUUAUAAAAAAAAUAAAUUUUUUUUUUAGAGGGGACACAAUAAAAAUUCAUAUUUUAUUAUUUUUUUAAUUUUUUCUCUCUUUUUUUUAAAUUGGGUGCUAUGAAAUUAGGGUUACGAGAAUCGUAGCGUGACAAGUAGGAGGAAGUAGCGAUGAAUUUGGAGUCGGUGGGGGAAAAAAACGAUGAGUCUGAAAGAUCUGUACAGGAUCGACGUGGCUGUAACUAAAGAGGAGCUCGAUGCUGACAAUGGCAGCGAAUGCGACGUGGAUUAGAAUUCGCCUUCCCGAUAUCGACAGCGCAAUUAAGGUGCUUAUAGAGAGUAGUGAUCUACUAUUUCUUUUAUUAUUCUUAUACGUAAAUUAUUUAUUGAAAGUAUAAAUUUUGUUAUAUCUAUUUCAUAUUUUUUAUUUAUAUUUAUUAAUUUCUCAUAACAAGUAAAAAAAAUGUAAAUUUAUUUUAUCUUGUCAAUUUUUUAUUUUUUAUAACAUCAAUCCACCCUAAUGUACAAAUAACUUCACUAGUUUAACAUUAUAAGAGAUAAACCGGAGGACUCCAAAUUAUGUUGGAGCUUAGGGUACACUUUAUUCGUCAGUGAGUGCUCUGGUGGAGCCCGUACGGGUUAGUGAGAGCGAGUGAGAGUUACGCGCACCUCGUAGAAACCGAAAAGAAUAAGGUCUCAAGGGGACCCUUCAAAGUGAACCCAAAGCAUCUUCCUUUUCCUUUACGUAGUUUCACCAGUAACAUCUUACAUCGUCAAAAAAUGGAGAUGUGACGCCACAUUUCCUAUAGGAUCAUCUAUUAUAAAAUUAAUUUUCAUUUUAGCAUACUUAAUUUUUCUAAUCCUUUUAAUUUAAUCACCGUCCAAUAUAUCAUAAUUGAGUUGAAAAAUUUAGCUCUAUUAUAUUUUAUAUAUGAGAAUAUUUUAAAUUCUAAAGUGUCACAAGAAGAUAUUUAUUGUUUGCAAUAAAAUUAAUUAAAAAGAUUUGUGGAGAUGAUCUAAUGGCGGCGGGGAGAAAUCCUUAAUCUUUGUUUAGAGCAAACGCUCGAUGAACAACCGAAAAUGAACCGUAAUUCCCCAUUAGUCCCAUCAUUUUUUUUAUUCUUUUUGUUUAAGAAUCAAAAAGGGGUUAGUAAAUCCCCAAACCAACAUUAUCAGGAGUCGAAGCAUGAAAUGAACUUUUUCGAUCUGAUUCUUCAGGCACAAGCAUUCGCCGAUCAUGGGGUUCGAAGCAUGUUAUUCUAGGAACAGAUUCUUUAUUUCGUGGAAAUCUAUUGAAGAUUCUCAGGGAGAUAAAUACCAUCUUCGUGAGUUCUCUUGCGCGGCCCGGAAACAACCUUCAUAAGUUCCAUCCUUAAUGAUUGGUUGUUUCUCACAUAGUUUUGUAGGAUUAGGGCAGAUAAUUUUGGAGAGAAUUAAAGUAGAAUAUAACAAGAAGAGCAACAAAAAUAUACGUGGUUCGGCUUAGCCUCUCAAAAAAGUAUAAAAGAAAGUGCUAAAUUAUGUAAAAUAAUUGUUUUUGCAAAAAAACUAACUGUCCCUAGAGUAAGUGGCAAAGAUCUUGGUGGUUGGUCCCCAAGGUUCCAAAAUCGAAUCCUAGUUGAUUCACAUUUCUAGCUAAGUUUAUUUUCAAAUGAAAAAAAUAAAGCGGGUAUCGUGCUACCUAUUUCUCAAAAAAAAAAUUGUUUUUGCAAAAAAUGUUAAGUUGAAAAAAAAAUGAUGUUUUUAUUAUUCAAUGCUUCCCUCACGUUUAGACUUGAGAAUGAUAUUUUUAUUAUUUAACAUAGACUUUUUUUUUAAAAAAAAAAAGGCUUUCUUCAUAAAAAAGAAAAACUCAUAUAUUCUAAUUUUCUGUCUAUUUAGCUUUUAAAAUAACUAAUUUUUCUUGAAAUUUGUUUUGCUCACAGUUUAUGAGAAACCAUGUUUUCGUUUUCGAUUAUUUUUCCCCGGAAAACAACCGUGUUUUCCCAUUAAUUUUCAUAAGAAAAACUACAAAAUAAAGGCACUGACAAAUAUGAGAAAAACGCCAAGUUAGAUGAGUUUGCUAGAUACUUCAUGUUUCCCCCGUAGCCAUCCAGAUAAGAUCUUUUAAGGAUGGCCAAAAAUGUGAAGAUUGCAAUUUUUGCUAGGGUUCUAUAAGCAUUCAUGCAUCUUGUCGAAGUCGAAGAAGAAGAGAAGAGAGGUUUCCAAUUUAUUUCAAAUUAUAAUGUGCGCUAAUAUAACGUUUAUGGAGUAAGGGACUCAAACUAAGGACAGUUAAAUAAUGUCAUGAGGCUGAUGGGACUCGAAUUCAUAACCUUAUAUUCUGACGUUUUCUAGAACUAAAAAUGUGGGCUUAAUCAAAUGGGAAAAAAUUAAAUAGUAAUAGAAACUUAAUAAAAUUCGAACUCAUGAACCUCAUGUUUAGAUAUCUAGUUUUGUGGAGCUUCGACUCUAAGCCCCCGUUUGGUUGGGGAUUAAGAGGGGGGGUGGGGUGGUGGUGGUGGUGGGGCGGUUAAGAGGGUUAUUCCUCCUUUAACCCUAAACAAAAAAUUUGGGGGAGCUAACCCCACCUCAAGAAUAGGGGUGGGAUUAAGUUAAUCCCACCCCUAUUUAAUUUUUUUAAUANUACGUCAUUUUAAAAAAUUUAAUUUAAAAUUUUGAAUUGACAACUUUUAAAUUUUAAAAUUUGAAUUUUAAUUUUGAAUUUUGAAUUUUGAAUUUUAAAUUUUAAAUUAUUAUUUUUAAUUUUUUUAAAUUAUAAAUUUGACAUUUUAUAUUUGUAACUUUAAAUUUUUAAAUUUGAGAUUUAAAAAUAAAAUUUUAAAUUUUAAAUUUUAAAUUAUUAUUUUUAAUUAUUUAAAAUUUAAAUUUAAAUUCAAAUAUAAAAAUUGGGACCAAAUUAUUAUUUUGUAUUUAUAAUAAUUCACUAUCCUUCUUAUUCCACCUACUCUAAUCAAACACUAUUUUAUCUAUACCCGCAUUAAAACCAAUUUUCAACCAAAUACAAAAUUAUUCUAAUCCCACCUUAAUCCUGAACUUAACUCUAUUUCUAGAAUAACUAGUUCUUACUUAACCCUGAACCAAACGAAGCCCAAAGAAAAUUAAAUAAUGUUAGAAGUUACGUUUGAUAGAAUUCGAAUUCAAAACAUCAUGGUCUGUUGUCAUAUUAAAUUAUAUAAAAUAACUAUUUAUCUCUAAAAGAUUAUGCCACUAAAGAAAUGUUUAUAUAUAUAUAUAUAUAUAGGACUUUUUUAUAAAACAACCCUCUAAAAUUUUGAAAUUUGUAAAAUAACCCUCUCAAAAUUUUAUUUGGCAAACUAACCCUCCUUUCGCCAUGUCGGCGCCACGUCAGAAUUUUUUUUAAAGGCGGUGAAUCGUUCACCGCUUUCUCCCAUUUCUUUUAAAAGCGGUGAAUCGUUCACCGCUUUCUCCUAUUUCUUUAAAGACGGUGAAUCAUUCACCACCUUUCACUUAUUCACUAUUUCUUUCUAUAUCCCAUAUAUAAUCCCAACAACCACAUAAAAAUUCUAACAAAUCAUAUAUAAUCUUAACAACCUUUAAAUCCUAAUAAUUUAUCCAUAUAAUUUCAUAUAAUCUUAACAGCCUGAAAAUCCUAAUAAUCUAUCUAUACAAUCCUAAUAAUCAAAUAAAAAUUCUAAUGAUCCACAUAUAAUCCUAACAACCUCACUUUUUUCUAUUUCCUAUAUAAUUCACGCACAAUUUUAAUGAAUGCGGUGAACGAUUUACCGCUUUAAAAGAAAUAGGAGAAAGCGGUGAACGAUUCACCGCUUUUAAAAGAAAUGGGAGAAAGCGGUGAACGAUUCACCGCCUUUAAAAUAAAAUUAAAUAAAUUAAAAAUUUUAAAUGUGUCGAUUAAUAAGUUGAAAAAUUAUUGAAAAAUAUAAAAAUAUUAUAUAUAUCUACUUAUUUAUUUAUAAAUAGUAAUUUAAAUAAUUAAUAAAUUUAUACAAUUAUUUUAUGUUUAGUGAAGGUAACCUCACCACUCUAUCUGAACAGGUGACAAAAUUCAUAAAUACAACUAUCAGCUUCAUAUUACCAAACAGAAGAAAUGUAACUGCAGCAGUUGCAACUGCGUAAAACCAAACAGACUAGGUGUAGUUACAACUGCAGCAUUUGCAACUGCAUAUAUUUCCAACUACACUGUUUCUGCAACUACAUCCAACCAAACGGCCCCUAAGAGUAUUAUUUAAUCCUAGGGGAGACCGCAAUCAUCCCAACCAUACAAUUUUUAAUCAAAAGUCAAAAAUUCAAAAACAUCAAAUCCUUAUAUUUUCGAUAGCAUAGUAUAUAUAUAUAUAGAGUCCGGCUACUAUACUAUUGAUAGUACAAGCCUUUGGUACUAUAGAGUUUUCUACCGUUAGAUCUACCCUGUGAUUAUUUCCACCCGUUAGAUUAUACUAUUAAACCAACCACCCACUCAACCCUAGGAGACCACUAUCAUCCUAACCGCACAUCCUUUCAUCCAACAGCCAAAAACUCAAUAGUACAAGGGCUUGGUACUAUUAAUAGUAUAGGAGCUAAUUAUAUAUAUAUAUAUAUAUAUAUAUAUAUAUAUAUAUAUAUAUAAUAUAUAUAUAUAUAUAUAUAUAUAUAUAUAUAUAUAUAUAUAUUUAUUAAAAUAUAUAAAUAUAAUAUAUUUUAAUUAUAUAUAGGCUGAGUGAAUAAUCUGAGUUUAGUUAAAAUUGAGUCAAUAUUGUUGGCCCAUAAAAACAAACCAAUAGACAAAUAAAAGAGCAAAAUUUUACUAAAUUUAUAUAUUUUUCCUUUCUUUCUUUCUUUCACAGAGCUCUCAAUUUUCAAUAUGUUUCUCUCUUUCUCUUUUUCUGUCUCUCACCCUAAGUGGCCAAGCGGAAAGCCCUCUAAGUUACCAAGUAACAUCAUAUGCCCACCGUUGCCUAUCUUAUUAUUAAUUGUAUGCUUGAGAAAAUAUACAGAAUAUUUUUAAAGUAAAAAAUUAUUAUUCAUAUAAAAUUUUAACUUUAGUUAUAUAUGAUUGGAUAGUUUAAUCCAAUACUUAUCUAUAUAAUUUAUUUAUUUUUUACUGCAUAAAUGAAAAUGAAUAAUAUAGAAAUUGAAGGUAAAAGAAAAGACAUGUAAGACUGAAAAAAUUAGAUAUUCAACUCAUAAAUUAUUUUUUUCAUAUUAUAUACUAUAUUUCAUAUAAUUUUUUGCACUUUGAAUUAUUAGACAUAUUUUUGUAUCAAAUUAUAGAUAAUAUUUUAUAUAAAUUAAACUAUUGAUCGUAUAAUGUCGAGAAUUUCAAGCGGCUCGUUUAAGGCUCGAGCUCACUCGACUUGAAAUUAGGCUCGCUCGGAGCUCANNNNNNNNNNNNNNNNNNNNNNNNNNNNNNNNNNNNNNNNNNNNNNNNNNNNNNNNNNNNNNNNNNNNNNNNNNNNNNNNNNNNNNNNNNNNNNNNNNNNNNNNNNNNNNNNNNNNNNNNNNNNNNNNNNNNNNNNNNNNNNNNNNNNNNNNNNNNNNNNNNNNNNNNNNNNNNNNNNNNNNNNNNNNNNNNNNNNNNNNNNNNNNNNNNNNNNNNNNNNNNNNNNNNNNNNNNNNNNNNNNNNNNNNNNNNNNNNNNNNNNNNNNNNNNNNNNNNNNNNNNNNNNNNNNNNNNNNNNNNNNNNNNNNNNNNNNNNNNNNNNNNNNNNNNNNNNNNNNNNNNNNNNNNNNNNNNNNNNNNNNNNNNNNNNNNNNNNNNNNNNNNNNNNNNNNNNNNNNNNNNNNNNNNNNNNNNNNNNNNNNNNNNNNNNNNNNNNNNNNNNNNNNNNNNNNNNNNNNNNNNNNNNNNNNNNNNNNNNNNNNNNNNNNNNNNNNNNNNNNNNNNNNNNNNNNNNNNNNNNNNNNNNNNNNNNNNNNNNNNNNNNNNNNNNNNNNNNNNNNNNNNNNNNNNNNNNNNNNNNNNNNNNNNNNNNNNNNNNNNNNNNNNNNNNNNNNNNNNNNNNNNNNNNNNNNNNNNNNNNNNNNNNNNNNNNNNNNNNNNNNNNNNNNNNNNNNNNNNNNNNNNNNNNNNNNNNNNNNNNNNNNNNNNNNNNNNNNNNNNNNNNNNNNNNNNNNNNNNNNNNNNNNNNNNNNNNNNNNNNNNNNNNNNNNNNNNNNNNNNNNNNNNNNNNNNNNNNNNNNNNNNNNNNNNNNNNNNNNNNNNNNNNNNNNNNNNNNNNNNNNNNNNNNNNNNNNNNNNNNNNNNNNNNNNNNNNNNNNNNNNNNNNNNNNNNNNNNNNNNNNNNNNNNNNNNNNNNNNNNNNNNNNNNNNNNNNNNNNNNNNNNNNNNNNNNNNNNNNNNNNNNNNNNNNNNNNNNNNNNNNNNNNNNNNNNNNNNNNNNNNNNNNNNNNNNNNNNNNNNNNNNNNNNNNNNNNNNNNNNNNNNNNNNNNNNNNNNNNNNNNNNNNNNNNNNNNNNNNNNNNNNNNNNNNNNNNNNNNNNNNNNNNNNNNNNNNNNNNNNNNNNNNNNNNNNNNNNNNNNNNNNNNNNNNNNNNNNNNNNNNNNNNNNNNNNNNNNNNNNNNNNNNNNNNNNNNNNNNNNNNNNNNNNNNNNNNNNNNNNNNNNNNNNNNNNNNNNNNNNNNNNNNNNNNNNNNNNNNNNNNNNNNNNNNNNNNNNNNNNNNNNNNNNNNNNNNNNNNNNNNNNNNNNNNNNNNNNNNNNNNNNNNNNNNNNNNNNNNNNNNNNNNNNNNNNNNNNNNNNNNNNNNNNNNNNNNNNNNNNNNNNNNNNNNNNNNNNNNNNNNNNNNNNNNNNNNNNNNNNNNNNNNNNNNNNNNNNNNNNNNNNNNNNNNNNNNNNNNNNNNNNNNNNNNNNNNNNNNNNNNNNNNNNNNNNNNNNNNNNNNNNNNNNNNNNNNNNNNNNNNNNNNNNNNNNNNNNNNNNNNNNNNNNNNNNNNNNNNNNNNNNNNNNNNNNNNNNNNNNNNNNNNNNNNNNNNNNNNNNNNNNNNNNNNNNNNNNNNNNNNNNNNNNNNNNNNNNNNNNNNNNNNNNNNNNNNNNNNNNNNNNNNNNNNNNNNNNNNNNNNNNNNNNNNNNNNNNNNNNNNNNNNNNNNNNNNNNNNNNNNNNNNNNNNNNNNNNNNNNNNNNNNNNNNNNNNNNNNNNNNNNNNNNNNNNNNNNNNNNNNNNNNNNNNNNNNNNNNNNNNNNNNNNNNNNNNNNNNNNNNNNNNNNNNNNNNNNNNNNNNNNNNNNNNNNNNNNNNNNNNNNNNNNNNNNNNNNNNNNNNNNNNNNNNNNNNNNNNNNNNNNNNNNNNNNNNNNNNNNNNNNNNNNNNNNNNNNNNNNNNNNNNNNNNNNNNNNNNNNNNNNNNNNNNNNNNNNNNNNNNNNNNNNNNNNNNNNNNNNNNNNNNNNNNNNNNNNNNNNNNNNNNNNNNNNNNNNNNNNNNNNNNNNNNNNNNNNNNNNNNNNNNNNNNNNNNNNNNNNNNNNNNNNNNNNNNNNNNNNNNNNNNNNNNNNNNNNNNNNNNNNNNNNNNNNNNNNNNNNNNNNNNNNNNNNNNNNNNNNNNNNNNNNNNNNNNNNNNNNNNNNNNNNNNNNNNNNNNNNNNNNNNNNNNNNNNNNNNNNNNNNNNNNNNNNNNNNNNNNNNNNNNNNNNNNNNNNNNNNNNNNNNNNNNNNNNNNNNNNNNNNNNNNNNNNNNNNNNNNNNNNNNNNNNNNNNNNNNNNNNNNNNNNNNNNNNNNNNNNNNNNNNNNNNNNNNNNNNNNNNNNNNNNNNNNNNNNNNNNNNNNNNNNNNNNNNNNNNNNNNNNNNNNNNNNNNNNNNNNNNNNNGAAAUGGGAGAAAACGGCGAACGAUUCACCGUCUUUGUAAGGAAACCCUGACGUGGCACCCACGUGGCGAAGGAGGGUUAGUUUUACAAAUAAAUUUUUACAGGGUCAUUUUGCCAAUUUCAAUUUUGGAGGGUCAUUUUAUAAAAAAGCCCUAUAUAUAUAUUAUAUUAUAUAUCUCGAGCUCGGCUCGAAUUAAUUUCAAUCCAAGCUUGAGCUUAAAUUUAGACUCGAAAUUAAUUUCAAGCCGAAUUUGAGCCGAGGUAAGCUCGCUCGAGCUCGGCUCGUUUCCACCCCUAAGUACAGUGGAGCAUAUACUUAUAAAAUUUUAUUUUUACUUUUUUUUUUUCAAAAUUUAUAAUUUAAUAUAAUAGAUAUUAUAUUUAAUGCUAUUUUUUUUUACAAAAGUUGUAGGCAAAAAUUAUUAUUAUUUUUUUGUUUUAAGAAGUGCUUUGAAGAUAGUCAAAUCUGCUUGCAUAGACAUAAUCUAUAGUAUUUAAAGAGAUAAGAAUAAAAAUUUAAAAUUUAAAAUCUCUCAUUUAUAAAUAUUUUAACUUUUAUAUAAAAAUUAUUGGUAGAAGCGUACACACUUAUUUAAACUGCAAAUCAUUUUGAAUUGACUAUCCAAUUUUUCAAAAUUUUAAUUUUACUAUUCAAUCUUUUUAGUUUCAAAUUUUAAAUGCGUCGUUUGUUUUUACAGAUUUAGUUAACAUACUUUUAUAUAUAUAUAUAUAUAUAUAUAUAGAGUUUUGCUAGAAUACUAUCGGUAGUAAACGGCUCGGUUUACUACCGAUUUGUUUUCAAUGAUAGAGCUUCCAAAUUGAUGAUUGGCACCGUUAAACAUAAUCUAAACUAUUUAAACUAUGUGGAAAUCAAAUUUUACACAUUUUCGAUAUUGUUCUCUUGUUCAUCAAGUGAACAGAAAAAUGAAUGGCUGGAAAUGAAUAUCCUUUAAAAAGUAAUGAUACAAUUUUUAUAUUUGAGAUCUAGAGUCUAGAUUUUAUUUUAAAUAGUUUAAAGAAUUUUUUAACAAAAAUUUAGUUGAUUUGAACUCUUCUACACCGUUAAAGAGCAAACGCACUAUAUUGGCCAUUAAAAUUAUAGAUUUUGUGACCUUUUGAUCGUUCAGUUAGUGAUGCCAAAAAAUCAUGAAAUUUGAUUUCUAGCUAAUUUAAAUGGUCUAGAUCAUGUGAGGGAUUAGGAUGCACACCAUUUGUAAAUUAACAAUAAUAAAUAAAUAAAUAAAUAGCUAAAUAAAUAAAUAAUAUAUGUAUUAUAGGUAAAUAAAAAAUACUUAUAAAUAAACUCAUACUAAUAAAAUUUUUGCAAAAAAUUAAUUUUUUUAAAUUUAUUUUAUUUAAAAUAUAAAUAUAGUUUUUUUUCUAAAUUUUUAUAGAAUUGGAUGUUUAUGUUAAUUUAAUAAGUUUUAAUUAAUUAUAAUUAUUAAAUUUGAUAAAAAAAAAAUGAGAGAAACCGUUUAAAAAUUUUUUAAGUUUGAUUUACAUAUUAAAUUAAAUAAAUUAAAAAUUUUAAAUGUGUCGAUUAAUAAGUUGAAAAAUUAUUGAAAAAUAUAAAAAUAUUAUAUAUAUUACUUAUUUAUUUAUAAAUAGUAAUUUAAAUAUUAAUAAAUUUAUACAAUUAUUUUAUGUUUUUAGUUGAAGGUAACCUCACCACUCUAUCUGAACAGGUGACAAAAUUCAUAAAUACAACUAUCAGCUUCAUAUUACCAAACAGAAGAAAUGUAACUGCAGCAGUUGCAACUGCGUAAAACCAAACAGACAUAGGUGUUCUGAGUUACAACUGCAGCAUUCUGCAACUGCAUAUAUUUUCCAAUACACGUCUGCAACUACAUCCAACCAAACGGCCCCUAAGAGUUUAUUUAAUCCUAGGGAGACCGCAAUUCAUCCCAACCAUACAAUUUUUAAUCAAAAGUCAAAAUUCAAAAACAUCAAAUCUCUAUAUUUUUCGAUAGCAUAGUAUAUUAUAUAUAGAGUCCGGCUACUAUACUAUUGAUAGUACCAAGCCUUUGUACUAUAGCAUGUUUUCUACCGUUAGAUUUACCUGUGAUUAUUUCCACCCGUUAGAUUAUAUAUUAAACCAACCACCACUCAACCCUAGGAGACCACUAUCAUCCUAACCGCACAUCCUUUCAUCAACAGCCAAAAACUCAAUAGUCCAAGGGCUUGGUAUAUUAAUAGUAUAGGAGCAUAAUUAUAUAUAUAUAUAUAUAUUAUAUAAUAAUAAUAUUAUAUAUAUAUAUAUAUAUAUUAUAUAUAUAUAUAUAUAUAUAUAUAUAUUUAUUAAAAUAUAUAAAUAUAAUAUAUUUUAAUUAUAUAUAGGCUGAGUGAAUAAUCUCGAGUUUAGUUAAAAUUGAGUCAAUAUUGUUUGGCCCAUAAAAACAAACCAAUAGACAAAUAAAAGAGCAAAAUUUACUAAAUUUAUAUAUUUUUCCUUUCUUUCUUCUUUCACAGAGGCUCUCAAUUUUCAAUAUGUUCUCUCUUUCUCUUUUUUUCUGUCUCUCACCCUAAGUGGCCAAGCGAAGCCCCUCUAAGUUACCAAGUAACAUCAUAUGCCCACCGUGCCUAUCUUAUUUAUUAAUUGUAUGCUUGAGAAAAUAUACAGAAUAUUUUUAAAGUAAAAAAUUUAUAUUCAUAUAAAAUUUUAACUUUAGUUAUAUAGAUUGGAUAGUUUAAUCCAAUAUUAUCUAUAUAAUUUAUUUAUUUUUUACUGCAUAAAUGAAAAUGAAUAAUAUAGAAAUGAAGGUAAAGAGAAAAGACAUGUAAGACUGAAAAAAAUUAGAUAUUCAACUCAUAAAUUAUUUUUUUCAUAUUUAAUACUAUAUUUCAUAUAAUUAUUUUGCACUUUGAAUUAUUAGAAUAUUUUUGUAUCAAAUUAUAGAUAAUAUUUUAUAUAAAUUAAACUAUUGAUCGUAUAAUGUCGAGAAUUUCAAGCGGGCUCGUUUAAGCUCGAGCUCACUCGACUGAAAUUAGGCUCGCUCGGCUCGGCUCGAAUUAAUUUCAAUCCAAGCUUGAGCUUAAAUUUAGACUCGAAAAUUAAUUUCAAGCCGAAUUUGAGCGAGGUAAGCUCGCUCGAGCUCGGCUCGUUUCCACCCCUAAGUACAGUGGAGCAUAUACUUAUAAAAUUUUAUUUUUACUUUUUUUUUUCAAAAAUUUAUAAUUUAAUAUAAUAGAAUAUUAUAUUUAAUGCUAUUUUUUUUUACAAAAGUUGUAGGCAAAAUUAUUCAUUAUUUUUUUGUUUUAAGAAGUGCUUUGAAGAUAGUCAAAUCUGCUUGCAUAGACAUAAUUCAUAUAGUAUUUAAAGAGAUAAGAAUAAAAAUUUUAAAAUUUAAAAUCUCUCAUUUAUAAAUAUUUUAACUUUUUAUAUAAAAAUAUUGGUAGAAGCGUACACACUUAUUUAAACUGCAAAUCAUUUGAAUUGACUAUCCAAUUUUUCAAAAUUUUAAUUUUACUAUUCAAUCUUUUAGUUUCAAAUUUUAAAUGCGUCGUUGUUUUUUUACAGAUUUAGUUAACAUACUUUUAUAUAUAUAUAUAUAUAUAUAUAUAGAGUUUUGCUAGAAUACUAUCGGUAGUAAACGGCUCGGUUUACUACCGAUUUGUUUUCAAUGAUAGAGCUUCCAAAUUGAUGAUUGCACCGUUAAACAUAAUCUAAACUAUUUAAACUAUGUGGAAAUCAAAUUUUACACUAUUUCGAUAUUGUUCUCUUGUUCAUCAAGUGAACAGAAAAUAAAUGGCUGGAAAUGAAUAUCCUUUAAAAAGUAAUGAUACAAUUUUUAUAUUUGAGAUCUAGAGUCUAGAUUUUAUUUUAAAUAGUUUAAAGAAUUUUUUAACAAAAUUUAGUUUAUUUGAACUCUUCUACACCGUUAAAGAGCAAACGCACUAUAUUGGCCAUUAAAAUUAUAGAUUUUGUACCUUUUGAUCUUCAGUUAGUGAUGCCAAAAAAUCAUGAAAUUUGAUUUCUAGCUAAUUUAAAUGGUCUAGAUCAUGUUCAACGGUGCCGAUCGUCGAUUUGGAAGCUCUAUCAUCAAAAAUAAAUCGGUAGUAAACAGAGCAGUUUACUACGAUAGUAGCCCAGUCAAACUCCCUCCCCCUCUCUCUCUCUCUCUCUCUCUCUCUCUCUCUCUCUCUCUCUAUCUAUAUAUAUAUAUAUAUAUAGAGAGAGAGAGAGAGAGAGAGAGAGGAGAGAAAGGAUGAGCUCUUAUGCUUUAAAAGUACCAAGUUAUUGGUACUUACAGAUUUUUUGCCUUUGAUUAAGAAAUAUGCAGUUAGGAUGAUGUGAGCCCCCUAGGGUGGAGUGGGUGGUUGGUUGAAUGGUAUAAUUUAACGGGUGAAAAUGAUCAAGAUGUAAUCUAACGGUAAAAAAUUACAAGUACCAAAUACUUGGUGCUUUUAUAAGCACUAUAGCCAGACUCGUNNNNNNNNNNNNNNNNNNNNNNNNNUAUGUUCAACGUGCGAUCGUCGAUUUGGAACUCCAUCAUCAAGAAAUAAAUCGUAGUAAACAGCAGCUUUCACUACCGAUAGGUGGUUGACCCAGAUUCUCAACCUCCCUCCCCCCUCUCUCUCUCUCUUCUCUCUCUCUCUCUCUCUUCUCUCUCCUAAUAUAUAUAUAUAUCUAUAGAGAUCAGAUGACCGAGAACGAGAGAUUUUUUUUUGAUAUUUUUAUAAUUUUGUAGGUCUUCUUGAUCUAAAUGGUAUCUGUAUAUAUUUGUUGUACUACAGUUUUUCCUUGAUUAGAAAUAUUGCUUAGAUGAUUGAGCCACUAGGUGGACGGGUGGUGGUGAAUGGAUAUAAUUUAACGGGGUCACCGCAUUGGUGAAAAUGAUCAAAGAUGGCCAAAUCUAACGCCGAUAAAAAAUUACAAGCUACCAAAUAUUGGUGUAUUUAUAAGGCACUAUAGCCCAGACUCUCUCCUCUUCUCCCCUCCUCUCUCUCUCUCUGUUCUCUCUAUAUAUAAUACUAUAUAUUAGUAUAUAUAUAUAUGCUCUCCGAGCACACCUAUAAAUUCAACGUAGAAGUUAAAAAAGUCAAAAUUAUUUUAAGAUUAACAGGCCCCGGGCCCCCGCCGAGAGGGCCAUAAUUACACUCUUCAUCUGUUCCGAUCCGACCUGAUAUGAUGGACCACAACUACAGUAUGGUAAUGGGUCCUCCCCAAACCCCUCCGAAAGAAGACAGAGACAGGCACUUUGAAACACAUUGAUAAGCAUCCAGCCUGUUCAACAUCCCAAUUAUCUAUUCCAGCCUCCAAAAAAUUAAAAAAACCCCUCCACUGUCACCUCGGUGAUGAUAUCUGUUCAAGCUUCGUCAAUUCAUAUAUUAUUCACAUUUCUAAGCUAAAUUUUUUCUAAAUAAAUAAAAGCAAGGAUAUAGAUCACUCAUUCUUAUUUCUUAAAAAAAAAAAAAUUUCCAGCCCAUACGGUGCGAGUAAAUGAAAUAUUUUAAAAAAAUUAUUUAUUUUUUAAUUUACGUAUUUUUUAUUUUAAUUAUUAGCCUACACUCUAUCUCCUUCACCUCGCACACUACCAACUCUAUACUCUUAUUUGCGCUUAUCAGUAUUCUUAUAUCCCGGUAUUAUAUUGCAUCAUAUUUGAUCCUAUAUUUCCAAACUUUACAUUAGUAUAUCUUUGACUCCACUUUAGAAUCUUAAUAUCACUUUAACUCUGACUAAAUAAUUAAUUCUAUCCCGAUAGACUGCAUCACAAAUCACCUCCUAUACAGUCAUUGCUAUCAUAUAAUUAAACAUUUAUACUACUUUUACAUAAAAUGAUUAUCAAUAUUUAUCAAUAAUCUACUAGUCGAGCGUAAUCUAUAUUAAAUUUAUAAUUGAAGAAUCUAAAUAGUGUCGGCUCGGUCACAGUUUGAGACCAGUUUGUGACUGUCUCUUUCUCUCUCUCUCUCUCUCUCUCUCUCUCUCUCUAUAUAUAUAUAUAUAUAUAUAUAUAUAUAUAUAUAUUCCAGCAACUAUAAAUUUAAUAGAAUAAAAAAUUAAGUCAAAUUAUUUUAAAAUUAAAGUGUCGCAAUAAUACACCCUCUCAUCUGUUCCAUCCCGACUGGAUAUGAUGGCCACCAACUACAAUGGUUGGUGGCCCGUCCCAAGACCGGCCGAAAAAGGACAGGACAGCACUUGAAACACAUUGAUAAUGGAUCCAGGCCUUUCAACAUCCCAAUAAUUCCAGCCCAAAAAAAAAAAAAACUAGGUGAUUGAUAUCCAAGGUUUCAAGUUCGAAUUCUAUUUGAUUCACAUUUCUAACUAAAUUUUUUUCUAAAUAAAAUAAACGAAACGAAUAGCAUACUAUUCUAUUUCUUAAAAAAAAAAAAAAUUUCCAGCCCAUACGGUGCAGUAGAUAUGAAAUAUUUUAAAAAUAAAUUAUUUAUUUUUUAAUUUUACGUAUUUUUUAUUUUAAUUAUUAGUUAAAUUAGUUUAACUAAUAAUAAUUUAAAUCGGUAUAUGUGCGUUAUAGAUUUUUAUACGGUAAAUUGCAUAUUUGAUUAUUCAAACUUUAAUUUAUUAUGAUCUUUGGAUCCAACUUUUAGAAUUUAUACAUUAAUUGACUAAAUAUUAAUUUAUCGCUAACGCAAAAGUGAUAUAGCAGUAUUGCAUCAAUAAUUAAAAUGUUAUAUUACUUUUACAUAAAUGAUUAAUCAAUAUUUAGUCAAUUAAAAGUUCGAGCGAAAGAUUAUAAUAAAUUAUAAUUUGAAGAUUAAAAUAUUGUCUGGCUCGGUCACAGUUUGGACCAGUUUGGACUGCGUCUUUGUCAGAUAUCUCCAAAUUAGCAUGGAAGGAGCGGGGAUAACUGAACUAGAUACUGGGGAUGUUAAGCAGCUUUGGACUGAGACUACUCAGUCCCCGAAUGCCAGGUAGAGAACGAAUAGGCUCACACAUUUGGCGGCAAUCUGGUGGGUGGUAUGGACGAAGCACAACAAGAUCAUAUUCAGCGGGGGGUCUCCCGAUGCUACCCGUGCAAUUGGUCGUAUCGCAUCAUUGACGGAGGCUUGGACCGAAGUGCUUGACCCGUGACCGUUCGGUAGUCCUGGCAGUCUCCAUCUUGUUUUGUCUUUUGCUUGCUCGCUUCUAAGUUUUGUAUUCCUUUUUGCUCUUCCUAUUUUGUUUUCUUUUGCAGUUUUUGUAUUCCUUUUUGCUCUUCCUAUUUUGUUUUCUUCUGCGGUUUCUCCAGUUCCUUUAGGAGGCCUUAACUGUCUCCAUUUCUUGUACGCUAAAUUCAUUUGGCUUAAUGAAUGAAGCAAGCUACCUUUUUCUCAAAAAAAAAAUAUUGCCUGGCUAACUAGCUCAUAGUUUGAGGACCAAACAUACAAUUUACUCGAUUUUAUAAGAGUAACUAAUUAAUAAAGCAUUGGCACGAAGAAAGGUAUAGAGGUAGGAGUGUAAUGUGUUUUUCGGGCUGAAACGGGCUCACUGGCCUGAAUUUAAUUUCGGGGCUGGCCGUGCCGGGCCCAAAUUAUCUAUCCUCUGGCCGCCCGGCACAGCCCUUCGGCCUGGGACGCACGGGCCGUGCUUCGGGCCGGCCUAAUAAAAUAUUUAUUUUUAAAUUUUUUUAAAUUUUUUUAAAAUAUAAACAUCCAAUAUUUUCAUUUAAAAUUAAUAUUUUGAUUAAAAUAAUAAAAAAUUAUAAAAAUAAUUAUACUAAAAUAAAUAUUUAAUUUUAAAAAAAUAAAUUUGUAUUAUUUUUUUUAAAAAAAGAUAGACUUUGGUCCAAUGAACCAAAAUAUUUUGGUCCAUUGGACCAAACUGCACCUCCCAAGGUCUGCCUUGGGAGGAGAGCUCCUGGGGAGGCCCUCCUCCCCAGGAGCUCAGACCACAUGGCCCAAGGCAGUUGCCUUGGGCCACGGGGUCCGGGUUCGGCUCGCACGGCCCAAGCGGGCCGUGCCGUGCCGAGCCGCCCGCUUUUCCUAGGCCCGACACCAUCCAGGCCGUUUCGGGCAGUGCCAUGCCCAGCCGUCAGGCCCCAAAGGGCGGCCAGCACGGCCUAGAGCCUCGGGCCGGCCCGGCCCAGCACGUGUGCUACAGUACCCGUGCCGGGCUUUAGCCCGGCCCGAGGCCAUGCCGGGACGGGCGGCCCACGUGCCGCCCGGCCGGUUUUACCCCCUAUAUAGAGGCUAGCGCGCAAAGCAAUCGAGAAGAUGAUAUAUGUACAAGUAAAUAGCUAAUAUGAGUGUUAAAUAAUUAAAACACAUUGUAUGUCUAUCUAUAUAAUUUCUUAUAAUAAUUUUCGAUUAAGUAAUUUUAUUGUUGAAGAAUAAUUCUGCAAGAACUCGUCAAUUAAAUGUGAAAAAUAAGAAAUAAUAUAAUCAGAAAAUUUUAAGUUGGCUAAAAAAAAAGAAGAUACAAUAACUGCAAGGUAAUAUAAUAGCUACUAUUUAUUAAAAAUAUUUUAUAAAAUUAUAAUAUGGAAUAAUAAAUAAAAAUUUGUUUUUUUUAGAUAAAUAAAAAUUUGUUCCGUGUAGUAAAUAUAUCAUUACAUUUUAUACAACAGAAUUUUUUUUAUAUGCAAUUUUUUCUGCAGUUUAUGCCCUGUGGACUUGUGGUUGCCAUUAAUUUAUUGAAUUACAUUUUGAUUUUUAUUAUUAAUUAUUAAAAAGUAGGUGUGUUUCAUGCUGUAUAUUGAUCAAUAUCACGCAGAUAAAAAAUACUGAAAGAGAAAUUAAUGAUACACCUUUAAAUUUAAGGUUUAAGUACAAAAAUCUCCAUGCACUUUAUCAUAUAUCUUAAAUAUAUUCCUAUAAAAUUUUUAAACAAUGACGCUUUAUGAUCUCCUGUCAAAUAGGUUUAGUAGUUUAUAGAUUUUAUUAAUUUUUGACGAAAGUGUUAAUGAUGGUGACGUGAAAAAAUAACAUGCAUGAAUACUUUUUUAUGAUUCCUCUUAAAGUUGGAUACUUAAAAGUAUAUUUAAUUAAAAGAGUUUAAAUGAACUUUAAAAUAUAGUAUCUUAUCUCAACGUAACGCCGUUAAAAUUAAUAAAAAAUAAUAAUAAAUAUAACGUACUAAAGUGCAGAGGUGAUAUCAAAGAUAUUUGAAACAUGAGUAGAACUGUUAUACUAUCGAAAGUAUAAAAUAGUUAGUGCUUUCGAUUUUUUAGUUCUUAUAUCAAUCUCAUUGAUCAUUUCUAACUAUUGGAUUAAUAUUAUUAAGCAAUGGGGACCUCUCAACCCUAAGAGAACCGCUAUCAUCCCAACCAUAAAAUCUUUUAUUCAAAGACUAAAAAAUUUAAAGCAAUAAUUAUUUUAUGCUACUCAUAGUAUAGUAAUUCUACACUUAAAACAUUGAGCUCUUUAUUUACAGCAAUAGCUCCAGCAUUUUGCAUCAGAUUGUCCGAGAUAGAUUCUUCUUAUAUUAUACAGAAAAUAAGAAAGGAUGAAAGCAUUCCGAUACAGCAUAUAAGUGAUUAAGUUGGGUCACAUGGUGGGGCAGAUGGACCCAGGGUCUUCCUCGCAGACGAUCUUGCAGCCGCCGCCGGAGCACCGGGGACAGCCGCCAGCACCGCCACAGUGGCCGCAGCUGGGCGGGGUGACGACCUUGCAGCACCAGGUACAGCCGCCAGCACCGCCACAGCGGCCGCAGCUGUGCGGGGGCCACGAUCCGCUGUCUUCCUUCCCGCACGUGCAGCACUGGUAGCAUCCGAUUCCUCCUCGGUGAUCGGGGCGCGGCGACGGGCACGGGCACGGGCACGGCUGCCAGCAGCACCUCGGCCACGGACACGCCGGCGGCGGAGGGGGAGGAGGUGGCGGUGGCGGUGGCGGUGGCGGUGGCGGGGGCGGUGGCGGUGGCGGUGGUGGUGGCGGGCACAGUGGCGGUGGCUGGCACGGCCACGGCGGAAAAAUACACACCACCUUCGGCGGACACGGCUUCGGCGGCGGCGGCGGGGGAGGGGUCGGCGGCUUAUCCGGUGGCUUCGGCGGGGGAACGAUCUCGAUGCCCGUGAUCACGUCGCAGGCCAUGCAAAGCAGCUUCCUUUUCAGGCCCUCGGCAUCGAAAGGGCCGGAAACUUUGACGGUGUUCUUCUUCUUGUCGUAUUCGAUGGUCUGGAUCUUCUCUCGUUCUCCCAAGUUAGCAAAGAAGGAGAAGGAGAGGCACAGUAAGUAAUGUUAAAGAAUGUGAAAUAUUGCAGUCUGCUCCGAUACCGUAUUUAAAGAAGUAAAUUUUGAAAACAGCGUUUUCAUAUUAUGAAAUGCAUGGCAAGCAGUGCAAGACAGGGACGGAGCCAUUGUCAGACUCACAGCCGCCAUGGUCCCGCUGGAUUUUUAAAAAUUAUAUAGAAAUCCUUUAUAAUAAAAAUUAGAAUAUAUUAUAAAUUUUAAUUUUAGGGGAAACAAGUUCGCUAUUUUUUUAAAUAAACUUUAUGUUCCAAUUUUUUUUCGAACCUCUUAGUUCUUUUUCUUCAACUACUCUUUUAUUACAUUAUCGCUAUUGUCGUCAACAAUAGGUGGCCAGUAAAUCUGACAAACUCUUUUUCGUACUAUUCGAGGUCGAAUUUUUUCUUGCUAAAUUUAAAUCACUUUGUCCCUGGUGCAAGGGAAGCUUGAAUAGUAGAGAAUACGUACCUUGGAGCUUGCACAGAACCUUUCUGAUCUUCUUAUAGCAGUGGCAGCAUUCCAGGUCUACUUUGAUGAUUAGUGUGGAGAUCUGCAAGAGCAAAAGUGAUUGGCAUAGAAAAGAAAUUGAGCACAACAAGCAAGCAAUGCAGCUGAUGUGGAGACUGAUCAAAAUUGAAUUGCUAGGAAAGUUAAAACCGAUAUCGCACUUUGUAUUUUAAGGCAAUAUCAAAGGUUCUGCCGAGUACAUAUGGACUGAACACUGUAGAAUAGAAAUGUUGAGACUUCAAUUAAGGUCGAGGAAUUAAAUGAAGUUUGAAGUCCGACGAGGCUCAAAUUUGUGAGCUCUUGUUUUUUAACUUUCAAUAUCAUGUUAAAUUAUGAAAAAUUAAUAAUCAUAUAUGUAAUGAUCUGAUUUAUUAGUAAUAAUAACUUGUUGGACUCAAACUACCGAUCCAAAAUGUUUAAACUCAGUUAUCAUUAUUAGAAUGGAAACUUCAAUGGUUCAUCCGAUGUGCACUCCUUGCUAGGCAAUUUUCGGCUGGUAUUCGAUUCUGAUACCAAUUGUAAUGACUAGUCCGUUACCAAUAAUAAUUUGUUGGGUCCAAACCACCGGUCUAAAAUACUUAAAUCCAACUAUUAUUAUUAGGAUGGAGGCCUUAUAUAUUUUAAUCAAAAUUAUUUUUUCAUCCAAUAUAAGAUUAUUAAAGCAUUAAAGUGUAUCUCUAAAACAUAAGCUAUUAAAUGAUGGUAUUUUUAAUAUUUAUAUUCAGUAAUGCUAAAAAUAAGCAGCAUCUUUCGUUAUCUCCAAAACAAAACAUCAAUGAAAUUCUCGGCGAGAAAAAAAGCGAUGCUAAAAAUAAGCAUCGUCUUUCGUUAUCUCCAAAACAAAACAUCAAUGGGAUUCUCGGCGAGAAAAAAAAACAAAAAGGAGAGAAGUAUCAGAGAAUUGGAAAUUUGAGCACCUUCUCAGCCAUUGCUUGAACCGAUUGAUGUAGAGACCAGCGAGAAAGCAGCGAGGGAAACAAGAAGAGGCAUGCUGCUUUAUAAAGCUGUUGAACUUCGAAGUCUUUCAAGUUACAGAACGCAGGGCGGAGCCAUUGAGGGGCCACAGUGGCCAUGGUCCCCCCUUCAAUUUUUUUAAAAUUACAUAAAGGUCCUUUAUAAUAAAGAUUAAAAUUUUUUUCCUGAGAGAGGUAGAUAGCACGCUACCCGCUUCGUUUAUUUCAGUUAGAAAUAAAUUUAGCUGGAUAUGUGAAUCAACUAAAAUUCGAACUUGGGUCUCGGAUAUCAACCAUCAAGUCCUUUGCCACUUGCUCUAGGGAAGGUCGAUAAAAAAAAAAAAAUUAUAGAUUUUAAUUUUAGGUGGCCAAAUUAAUUUUUUUAAUAAAAUUUGUCUUUUUUUUUUCGAAUUUUUUUUUGUUCUUUCCCUUCAAUUCUCAUCGUCUUGUUCCUCUCUAAGUAUAUUAUCGUUAUUGUUGCUAGUAAUAACUGAUCAGUGAAUCCGACAAAUUUUUUUUCCUUACUAUUCGAGGUCAAAUUUUUUUCUAUCAAAUUUAAAUUUUGGCUCCCCGAAUUUUAAUUUCUGGCUUCGUUCCUGCAGAAAAGAACUGAAAAGAAAGUAAGCAAAAAGAACAGACCAGUCCCUGUUAGCGUCUGGCAAAAUUUGUAUCAUAAUACUAGAGAGCUAAAGAUAGGAUGCCAUUUAAAAUUAUGCUAUAUAUAAAAUUAUUGGGGAUAAAAUUAAGAGUAGUACUAUUUAUAAUGUGGUUUGUAGUGCAUAUUUUUUUUGUUGUGCAAUAUGCAAUUUUGGUUGGUGAGCACUCUAGUGGGGUCUAGUAUUGGUUUCAGUGACAGUGAGAGAGCCAUGGCCAUGCAUGAGAGUUGUUGCGCUAGGGCUGUCAACGACCGAACAAUAGCGAGAAAAGGGUCGGCUCGUGUUUGCUCAUUUAUUAAAAGAGGUGAAAACGAGUAGAUUCGUUAAAAUAUCAGCCGAAAAAAUUCAACUCAUACUCUUGGAUUUAUUGUGUUUGGCAUAUUACUCUUAGAUUUAAAAAUAAAUAAAUAAAUAAAUGUACACUUUGUUAGCUAUUUAUUAUUAGCUAAAAUAGGUCCAAUUUUCUGAGGUUAAACAAUAAAUCUAAUAUCAAGAUGGUUUGAAUUAGGUUGAGCCCUUAAGUGCAAUAGGUGCUUUCUUUCUAUCAGCACAUACUUUUGAAAUAAUUAAUUAGUGCUUACAAUCCACACACACUUCGGUAGAUAAUACAAUAUAUUAAUUGCGUCCAGAAAAUUCAAUAUUAAAUUCGUGUCUUUUAAUUUCCACUGAAACCAACGGCAUUGACAAAUAUGAGAAAACAUUUGAAAUACAUGAGCUUGCCACUUCCUGUUUGCCUACUAGCCAUCAAGAUAAGGAUUUUAAGGAUGGCAAAAAAAAAGUGAAGAUCACAAUUUCUGCUAGGGUUCUGUAUUCAUUCAUCCCGUCGAAGUCAAAGUGUCGAAGAAGAAGAAGAAGAAUCGAAGAAGAAGAAGAAGAGAGGAUUUCAAGUCUAUUUUGAAGUUGUAAUAUGUGACAAGAUGAAGUUUAGGUUGACAACUUUGCAAACCCCUUAAUGAUGUUGAUUUGUUUCUUUAAGGUUUCUUCAAUAUUGUUUACAACCUAAUCAAUCUACAUUGCUAGUCACUUUUACCCCUUAAUGAUGUUGAUUUGUUUCUUUAAGGUUUCUUCAAUAUUGUUUACAACCUAAUCAAUCUACAUUGCUAGUCACUUUUACUUUUCCGACAAAGGAUUUGGUGGCUGGUAUCUGAAGUUCCAAGUUCGAAUCCUAGUUGAUUUAUAUUUCCAGCUAAAUUUAUUUCUAAAUGAAAUAAACGAAGCUGGGAGUAUACUACUUAUCUCUAAAAGAAAAAACUUUUACUUUUAUGACUGCUGUCACUUUAAAAUGAUAAUAUUAGAAUAUUAUUAGUGAUUAAGAAAAUUUAAACGCUAGAAGCUUUUGAUUUCUUAAUGACUUAAGUCUAGUUUGGUAAUAUGGUGGUUAACAUGCUUCUCCCGUCGUGGCUUAGUUUGGUGCAUGUGAUGCUCUAAUUGAUCAGGCGCGGUUAGUAUUUUUUAUAGCGAAGAAAAAUUUAUUACUUGUACAAAGUGUAUGCAUAUAUUUUAUACACAAUAUUUUUAAAAUUCUAUUAUAAAAAUUUAAAUUCUCUAAUUAUUUAUGUAUAGACUUUGUGCUAUUGAUCACAUCUGUGAGAUUAAAAUUUGAUUUUGUAAUAUUAAAAUAUUAAAAAAUAGAUUGAACGCAGGUACGUAGUCCACUAAAACUUUCGGGUGUACGGAAUCUCUUACAACGGUUAAGAGGGUUAGUUGGGGAAAGCAUGUCGCUUUAAGCUCCGCCCCAACCACUCUUUAAUGUAACUAGCGAUAGCGAUGUGAUGUGGUGGAUAUACUUUGUAAGUUCUUAAUUGCAUAUGUAAAUAUAUAUAGUAUGCACUAUUUAUAUAGAAUUAUUUUAUAGAGUCAAACAGUGUCAAUUUUGAUGUAAUUAUUCAACACAUAUUUUAUAUGGAAUCAAUUCCAAUGUGAAAAUAUUUUUUGAAGCAAAAUAGUAUAGUUUAUAAUAUACUUAUGUUUUACGUCAUUUUGUUCAAAAAGUACAUCUCUAAUUUUUUUAUGUUUGUAUAAUAAUAAUAAUAAUGAGAUAUACACUAAGCUGUUGUUAGUUGGAUGUAAUAAUAAUUAGAGAAAUGAUUCGGUACUUUUUUUUUAAAAAAAUAAAAAAGAUCUUAACCGUUGAUUAAUAUAGGGUAAAAAUAUAAUUUUAAUACUUAGCAGGUAAAAGGAUUAUUUUAUUCUAGGUUAGUUUGGUAAUUAAACAAUACAACAUUUAAAGAAACUUUUAAUUGGGGUCCUAAAUUUACGCAUUAAUUGGCACUAAUUUAGAAAAUUAAUUGAUUAACCAAAUUUAUGCAAUUAUUAGGCAUUAAUUUAGGCAUCUACUUUAAUGUUUUAGUGUUUCUAAAAUUAUGCAUUAAUUUAAAUUAUAGGAAUUUUAGAAAUAGUUUUAUUUCUAAGUACGAAGUACGAUGAAUUUAAAUUUUAAAUAUUAAAUACUUAAAAUUUAAUAGUGAAAUUUAAAUUAGAGGAAUUUCAUAUUAGUGCUAAUAAAAUUGUAAUGUUGGUAAAUUUUUUUUCAACAUAUUUAAUAUGUUUAAGAAACUUUUAAAUUCCUAUAGUUUAGACAUUAAUUUUGUAUCACUUAUUUAAAAAAUUUUGAAUGUAGGUUAAAAUAUUUAUAAUUUAAAUGUAUUUAAUAAGUUAAAAAAAAAAAAGAAUUGUUCUACUUUAGACAUUAAUUUUGUAUGACUAUUUAAAAAUAUUUAUAAUGUUGGUAAAAAACUAAAAAAAAAUUAAUAUCCUAUAAUAUGAUAAAAUUUGAAAAUUCUCAUAUCGAACUAGAAAAAAAUUAACUAUUUCAUUCUUAUUUUAUUAAAAAAAAAUUUAGAAAGCAAUAGGAAUGGAAAGAAAUUUUAAAGCAUAGUUUCUUAAAAUUAAACUUAUUUACAAUAUUAAACAAAUAAACAAAGAAAAAAGAAAAAAUUAAAAUAUCAUACUGUCAAAUCAUUUGAAAAUUUUCUUAUAUGAAAUGCCAAAUUAUGAAAGGAAAGAUAGAGAGAGAAAAAGGAAACAAAGAGAAAAUAAAAAAUUUGAAAAUAUAGUAGAGAUAAAAUGACUAAAUUGCCUAUGUAUUACAAGACAAAAAUAUCCUUUUUUGAGAUACCUGGUAACCGGUACCUCUCCCAAAGUGAUCUGCUAUUGCAGGUCACAAUUUAAAAAAAACUAAAUCUAAGCCGUUGAAUACGCGUGAAUGAACGGUAACAAAAAAAAAAAAAAGUGUAGAAGCAUUACUGUAAUAAUUAUAGUAAAAUUGUAGAUGCAUGUAUGUGAUUAAAAUGCAGCAGUUAUUGUCACAUUUUUUUUGAUUGAUUGAAUGUAAUAGAAAGUGUUGCAAGAAUGAAUAAUUUAUUUAGUUUCAUUCCGUUAGGAAUUGUAUAUCUAAAUUUGUUACUUUACAUAUAUAAUUGUGAGAUCAUCUCUAAUGUGUGUGUGGGAGCCCGCGAGUGGGAGCCCGCGCGUGGGAGUCCAACUAUGAUACUUUUAAAAGUAUCAAGUAUUUGAUGUUUGUAAGUUUUUCAUCUUUAGAUCUAUUCUUUUGACCAAUUCGACUUAAAUUUUGUUAUUUUAUCAAUCACGCACUCAACUUUAGGGGACUGUGAGUGUAGUCUGGUUAUUGUGCUUUUAAAAGCACCAACACACUUAGUACUAGUAAAAUUUUUCACCGUUAAAUUUAUUUUUUUUGACCAAUUUUAUCCCUUAGAUUAUGCGUUAUUUCGCCAACCACUUAUUUAAUUUUAAGAAACCACUAUUAUCCUAAACUUAGAAAGUUUUAU
rnacentral:lncRNA from 1 species